CCAGUACCAUUAACGGCCCGCUGGUGGUGAUUCCUGGGGCCCCUACUCAUGCAUGAUCAUCUUGUGUGCAUGUGCUGACUUGCAUACAUACAUACAAGCUGAAGCUGAACUUGUGGGUUUUACUAGAUUUCUAUAGCCGGCAUCGCCCGGAAGAAAAACACCUGCGUUUCGCUCAUGUCCACGUUCCUCAAUGAGCGUUUGUAUCCGUUUUUUUUUUGAAGUUUAUAUAUACUGGUUCCUUGGUUUGCUACAUGUAACAUCAACGUAAUACAUACUCCUACUUUGUCAAUGUGAUCGCCUUCUUGAAUAGGAGUAUAUCGAAGUACCACUUCUGCACUCACAAAGUCACAAACUGUACGUAACAACAUUAUGGAAGCCGAAGGUAGAUUUCUAUUACAGCAGGUCGUACGUGGCCUCGGUUUACGUGGGAGUGGUACGUAGAUUUUCCUGACAUUAAGGCCCCGGAACCAUAAUAGAUUAUGAUAAUCUGGAUUAUGAAGAUAGAUUAUAUAAUCUGGUUUAUAAAAAUAAUUUAGGUGACCAUGUUUGGAGGCCAGAUUAUAUAAACUGUAAUCCAGGUUUUACAUUGUAUAAUGACCUGUCUGCCCUUUGUUUUUUUAAAAAAAAGAGAAGGGUGGCGGUGGUAGGAAUGUAAUUAUCUCCAACUUUACAAGGGUAAUGGAUCAUUAGCAAUCCAUAAUCUGAUUUUAGCUGGUAUAGAGUAGAUUAUGAGUUUUUAAUAAUCUAUCCAUCUAGUUCUUAUAAUCUACACCAUAAGCUGUCCUGUUUGGAGACAUAAUAGAUUAUAAAAACUGGAUUAUAUAAUCUAGGUGAUUCCAAACAGGGCCUAAGACAUCACCUCAGGUUAUCGGAUAGACACCUCCCCUGCCACGUGAGUAACAACCCAACUACUGCUUGUGUGCAAAGUCAAUUUGGAGGACGGGUGACUAUAUUUUGAAUAGCGCCAAAAUGUUAAUUUGAACUUCCAAAAUUUUCAAAAUCAACCAACAUGUUUGUACGGGUGUAUAUUUCACAUGUACAAAUUUUCAGGUUGAAAUAAGUAACCAUGUGAGUUACAGAAAAAAAUGACAAAACCAUGAUUUAGGACAGAUCAAUAGUGCAUUUAUUAUUCACUAUUUGGAAAAUCGUUUUGUUAUUUUUGUAUAGCUUAUAGGUUUACUUAUUUCAUCACUAAACUUCACAUGUAUGUAAUAUACAUCUGUACGAUCACCUAGAUUUUUUUUGAUAAUUUAAUUGUGAAUUUUAAAGUAUUUAAAACAAGUUCCUCCAAUACAUCUGGGUUCCAAAAAUCAACUCUUCGGUAGUGUGGGACUAUAUCGCAAAGGGAUUACGGUGAAGCUAUACAAGAUGUAUCCAGUGGGUUAAAUAUCAGGCAACUGAAAUUGGGGGCAAACGAUCUAUAUGGACAGUCUAGUUCGGAACUACUAAAUAUUAAUUGCGAUGAUCUAGGUUAGAGCUUUUGGAGAUCUUGGAGUUGUUGAAUAUAUCCCCUCUGUCUUUGGGUGGGCACCUAUAUACAUUGGUAUAAGUUGGGUGUGCUACUGCAAUAGACACAUAGAAAAUUACAUCGGAUUGAUCACAAUUAUGUUAGGAAGUUCCUGUGAUCUUUGCAUUGAAGAACAAGGAAGAGAGGAUGCCACAUGAAUAACUACUGCUAUGAACCCAUAGUCCAAGGUGGAGUACUCAUCUAACACGAUCCAUGGCUGGUCCAUGGGCUAGGCCUGCGUCCUAGCCUAGGGGAUCACCUCCGCUGGUUGUUCACCCCUCUGCAAUCCUCUAGUGAUCCUCCUUCAUGGCACAAUUUUAUUUUUGGGGCUUUGGAAAGUAUUAUUCUGCAAAUUCUAAAAAUAAGUACUAAGCAUUGGAUUAAUAAGCUAGCCCGGUAAAAUUAUAUAAAAAGGUUCCAAAACUAUGUAAUAUUCAUAAGGUGCCAUGCAUGCUACUAUAAUUGUGCAAUGGAAAAAAAUUUAGAAGAAAGGUUCAAAACUAUAUAUACUUUUUCUAUUGGAUCGUACUUGUCUUGUAAGUGCUUUCUCUCAUAUUGAUUGGCCAGAUUGUCAAGAUGAAAGAAAUUUUUUAUUGGAGGUUUUUUGCUUUGUUUUCUAGGUGUAGUCUUGUUUCAGGGAGUGCAAGAAAAAACAAACAUUAUCAUGUUCCUGCACUAAAUCAUAGUACAAGUCUCUCGCUCAUGCAACAACUAAAAUGAUCUAGGUGCAACAACUAUAAACCUGGUGUCAAUCAACCAAAUGUAGCAUCAUUGUGGUGUGCGACAAUCUUACAACAACAUAUUUGUUAACAAAUCAUGUGUUUCAUCUUAAGACUAAGCACAUUUAAGUGGACUAUCAUUUGUUCGAGAAAGAGUAUCACACAAAGCACGAAGUACCUGUUUUCAUACCCACAUCUCCUCAAGUUGCAGGUGGACUUACGAAGCCAAGUUAUAGAUGAAUUUACAAAUAAGGUAACACAAAGAUGUUUAGUGUAACCCCAAUUUAAAAAAGUUGUGAUUGAGAAGGGAUGGUGCGGCAUCUACGUUGCACGUGUAUAGUUUAUUAUGGUUGUUGUAAUAUAGUUUGGUUUAGACAAAAGUUGAUUCCCCCAUUUUAUAUGGAUAUCUUGAGAAUCAAGUGUAGGUCCAACCAACCGCAUGCGCAAACCGAAUCUUUUGUUCUAUAUAACAUGGAUGUGUCCCAAGUUCCUAACAUACACCAAAGCCUUGGGCCCAUUUUCUUAGAUGGCAUUGCACCUGUGAGAGCACCUACAAUGUGCAAAAUAGUGUUGUCACGUGUGAAUUGUCUUUGGCAUCAGAGAUGGUGCUUAAAUGUCAUGAGGUUGUGGUUGAAUCUUAAAAGGUUAGAAAUCAUAGCAACUAUUUAUCGGAUGAAAAUUGUCCUAACAAUAAAAUACUCCAUCUCGACGCACCCGAGUGUACGUCUCCUAUAUAUCUAUAUUUUUUGAAGUAUUCAUGCUAUAUUUACAUCCUUUAUUAAUUUUGUGACACAAUAUUUAUUUGGAUUAACAUAUUUAUCCAGGCCCAAAGGCCAGUUUCUGUUUUCCAUCAUUUUUGGAAAUAUAGGUCAAAAAUCCAGGAAGCCGGAAUGAGCUGACUUUUUUGUGAAAUUUUUAUUCGAAAUAUAAGAAUUUUGGGCGAAGGAAUCAACGUGAAAUAGUGUCCAAGGGCCCCACAUGGAAAUGGGCUAAUAUGGAUAGCUCUUAAGUCAGUUUGUGCUCUUCUUUCACCGCAACAAAGCUAAUUUCUGGAGAAAAAUCCCCUCAUUUUAGCCCGAUCGGAGUUAUGAAACUCCGGCUAUAAAAUAAACGGUUUUAGGCCAGAAAACAACGAAAUCAGAGAAGAAAACAUAGAGAGAGAUCCCAUCUCGGAGGGUCUCGCCUAUCAGGACGCCAUGUGGAGGCCAAGGACAGGAUGGGAGAACCUUGCCCCAUCUAUUAGGAGGCCAUGUAGGAGCAAGCCUGAUGGAAGGCUCUCUCCCCUCUCUCCCAAUGGCGCCAGAGUGCCGAGGAAACAUCUUUGCAGCGAUCGUCAUCAACCUCAACACGGUUCUUUGUCUAGGCGGGGGUGUGGUGUGACCGAUAUUCUCCUUGCCAUGCAUCCGGUAGUUGGCCCUCGGCUUUGCAGCUACGUUGGCGAAGUGCUGCAGUGGCGGCGGUGUGAAGCUUUUGGGACGGCGUUGCCCAAUUCUAGGUGGUGUGGUGAGGUGCGACACGCGGAUGAAAAUCUUGCAUGGCUUCCGUCGGGCCGACAACGAUGGCACCCCGAGAUGUCAUUCCCCUCCUUGGAGGCGCCAUCGAGGCGUGUUCGUCAUGUCCCUCGCUUUCUUGGAGUUGUGGCUGUCUCCGGGUGAAAGCCUUGUUCGGUUGGAUGGCACAAUGGUCGUGUCCUCGACGUCGUUCCUCUGUUGGGAGCAUUGCAUUUGGAGACUUGGCUGGCUCCUCGCCACUCUCCUCCAGCGUUUGCCGAUGUCCUCCUUGAUCCUUUGCGGUGCUAUGUACACCCGUCGAUGGUGAGUCCAAGACGACGUCUUCCUCGGACCGGAUCGAGUCUCGUCGCCCACUUGCCACUUCCUCUUAGGCGGUAAGAGGGGAUGGUGCGUCGAUAAGUGAAGUUCUGUGGUAGUUGUUGUUCUUUGGAGGUGUACGACGCCGGUCGAUACAUGGUGUUGUGUUUCUAUUAGGAUAGGCCCUUUGCAUUGUAGCUUGCUUUGCGGUGGUGUUUGUUUUUAUUACUCAGAUGUGUUGUUUGUGCUAUGCUCGUUUUUCGCAUCGAGUGUAGUUUUUUGUUACUCAAAUUCCGCCUUCUAUAAAGAUAUGGUAUGCCUAGGCGUAUGUUCCUAAAGGAAGUCACUGUGGAGUAACAAGUAGAUGACGGGUUGCGAGAGUGAUAGAAGCUAAACCUAGUUUAUGUGUUGCUUCAUGAGGGGCUCAUUUGGAUCCACAUGUUUCAUGCUAUGUUUAGAUUUAUCUCAAUUCUUCUUUCAUUGUUGCGGAUGCUUGCGAGAGGGGUUGAUCAUAAGUAGGUUGUUAGUUCAAGUAAGAACAUAAUCUUAUCACCGGUCCACCCCACAUAUCAUAUUAUCAAAGUAGCGAACGUGAAUAAACUCAAUACGAUGAACAUGACUAGACAUAUACUCCUGUGUGUCCUUAGGAGCACUUGAUUUAUAUAAGGGUACUUUCAGGCAUGUCCUUUGCUAUAAAAAGGAUUGGUCUACCUUGCUGCACCUUUUUUACUAUGGCUACUUGUAACCAGUUAUGAAUUGUCUUGAUAUAAAACUAUCUAUCACUUCUACUUAGAGCACAUGCAGAGAAUACCUUGCUGAAAACUGCUUAUCAUUUCCUUCUACUUGUCGUUAGGUUCGACACACUUACAUGUUGAAAGGACUACGAUUGAUCCCCUAUAUUUUUGGUUCAUCAAGACUCUUUUCUCGCACUGUGCCGGGGAGUGAAGCGCCUUUACUAAGUGGAAAUCGGUAAGGAAACAUUUUCGGUACGUGCUGAAAUUUACUGUUGCUUAUCACUAUGAACAAUCAUUCUUCAAGUGGCUUGUUCGGGGCAUCUCCGCCUCGAACGGAAGUUGAGAAAUAUUUUCCUCAACCUACUGAACCUACUGAAAAUAUUUAUUAUGAGAUUCCUUUGGGUAUGGUAGAGAAACUGUUGGCUAACCCUUAUAACGGUUCAAGUCAUCCUCAUUACCAUUUGAUAUAUGUUGAUGAGAUUUGUGGAUUGUUUCAGCUUUCAGGUUUACCCGGAGACAAGGUUAAGAAGAGAGUUUUCCCAUUAUCUUUUGAGGGAAAAGUAUUAAUGUGGUCGAGAUUAUUGGAUGAUAUUGGUUCAUGUGAUUGGAAUCGCUUGAAGCUGGAAUUUCAUUAGAAGUUUUAUCCUACGCAUUUAAUACAUCAUGAUGGGAAUUUUAUUUAUAAUUGCUGGCCUCGUGAAGGAUAAAGCACCGCUCAAGCUUGGGGGGCUUAAAUGUAUGAUGCGUAAUUUCGCCAACCAUGAGCUCUCCAAGGAAUUAAUUAUACAAAAAAAUUUAUGCUCGGCUUUCUCACGAUGAUCAAACAUUACUCGAUUCUUGCGUUGUCGUUUCUUAUAUGAAGGAGACUAUUGAAUUCGAAUGGGAUCUUUUCAAAAAUAUUAAAUGCAACUCUGAACAUUUGGAACUCAAUGAACUUAAAGAGUAAGGUAUGAAGCUUAAGUUUGAUUGUGUUAAAUCUUUCAUGGAAACUUCUCCUUUUCGUGAGUUUAGCAAUAAAUAUGGCCAUGACUCUGAGGUAGUAGCUACUUUCUGUGAAUCAUUCUCUACCUAUGUUGAUGUUCCCAAGGAAAAGUGGUAUAAAUAUCAUCCUUCCAUUGAAAAGCUACCCGAGGAAAAUUUUAAAAUAAAGAAGGAAGAAAUAUAUGAUAACCAUGUUGAUCCAAUUGUUCCUACUGCUUACAUUGAUAAACCUCCUUUCCCUAUUAGGAUUAGAGAACAUGCUAAGGCUACAAGAGUGGUUAACAAGAGUUAUGUUAGAACACCUACACCUUCUGAUUAAAUAAAAAUUUGAGCCUAAUGUUCCUAUAGUCAAAGAUCUCCUAGUUGACAAUAUUGAUGGGUAGGUUAUUUAUCUCUCUGAUGAAGCUACUAGAAUUGCUAAACCUGUUAGAAACAAAAGAGGCGAACUAGAUAAAAGUGGUAGGCACACAUGUCAUCUCAGUUAAAAUUUGAAAUCAUUGCUAUCAUGGCCCGUGUGAUAUUGGUGCUACUAUUAGUGUUAUACCCUUUACAUUAUAUUAAUAAAUUAUGCACGAUAUAUCACCAUUUUAAAUUGAAGAUAUUGAUGUCACAAUUAAGCUUGCAAACCGUGAUACUAUUGCUAGAGAUGUUGAAGUCUUGUGCAGAAAAGUCAAGUACCCCAUUGAUUUCCUAGUACUUGGUUCAGAACAAGAUAACUUCUGUCCCAUCAUAUUUGGUAGACCUUUCUUGAAUACGGUUAAUGCUGAAAUUAAUUGUGCUACAAAGAAGGUCAAAGUGAGUUUUGCUGAUGCUUUUCAUGAGUUUAACUUCUCUAAGUUUAGAAAGCAGCCACAUGAAAAAUAAUUGCCUAGUAAGAAUGAAAUACACUAGUAGAAAAUGACCCAUUUGUCCCGGUUCCAGAGGCCCAUUAGCCCCAGUUCUUGAACCGUGACUAAAUGGUCGGGAAUAAAGCCCAUAAUCUUUAGUCCCGGUUCCCUUACAAACCGUGACCGAAGGGUCUCCACGUGGCCUCUGCGGGUUGCCCGGGCAGGAGGUUCUUUAGUCCCGGUUGGUCACACCAACCGGGACAACAUGGCAUCCACACGUCAGCAUCUGGCCGGAGCUGGGAUUUUUGUUUUUUUAAUGGGGGGGGGGGUUGGAGUGUUAAUUUAGUGGUUUCAUAUUGUGUUAGCUAGCUAAUAGAGAGAUGUGUCCUCUCUUUCUCCAUGCUUGGUCGAACAACAAGUUUUCGUAUAUCUAUCCGAUGCUAUUACAUAUAUACAAUAUAACAUCUUUUACAAUUAAUCCAAAACAUCAUCCAAUUAAGAUCCAAUGACAAAUCCACAUGGCAUUCUCCGUCUUUAGGUAUGACGUGGUCAACAAAGAAUCCCGCCAAUUCUUCUUGAAUUGCUCGUAUGCGAUCAUAUGGUAGGAGUUGAUCCCGCAUCUCGCAGAUCUAAUUUAAAGAAGGGGUCAAUACAUGCAUAUAUAUGAAUAAAAUUCAACACAAUUGUGAAUAUUAUUUACGUACUCGAAAUUGUUUCUCACAGAAGACCCUCUCAGAGGUCGUGUGGCGAAUGAACUCGCAUACGUAGUAUGCACAUAAAACAAUGCCUUGUUUCUCGUACAUACACUUUACGAGAACAGAGUUCAAUCAAACUGAUAAGCAAGCAGGGUAAUGAUAUAUUGAUGAAAAUUUGAAUCAAUUAGAGAUGCGCGGAACUAGCUAGUACUACUUACUUUGGGGUGCGUAAAUCGCAACUCUUUGUUUAGACCGGGAACCAUAUUGGUGAAAUUCGUCAAAACCCUGCUAGGCAAAGAAAAUGUUUACUUGAUAUCAGAAAAUUAAUGAAAGUUGCAUGCCGAUAUGGUCUAGGUAUAUUGACUGAACUUACUUCUUGAGCAUUGUAGUAAUGUCCUCAUAAUCCUCUUCGGCUUUAUGUCUCGAGUCUAAGACAUUUACUAGUGCACUACCAAUGUCAGUGGAUAGCAGAAUAAAGUGGUCUCUGCGCACGCAUAUAUAACUCAUCAAUUAUAUUACUUAAUUAACCUCAAGUAAGCGAAACCGAGUUACAGAGAAGACAACAACACUCACUUGAAGUUGUAAGGAAAGAUUAUUUCUACUUUUUUAUGUAUAAGGAAUGAGUUUAGCAAGUUCUCCCCGGUCUCUUUGAUUGAGUUUAGUACCAUCAAUUCAUUUACGACAUCUGGGCUAAUGAACCCAACGUUGACGAUACCUGCUUUUUUUUAAUUCGAUGAUCUUCAAUUUGCAUAAUAUAUAUAGUGAGGAUAAUUAUAUAUACAUGCCAUGAACGAGCCGAGCUAGAGACUUAACUAUAAAAGUAAUACUUACACGCAGUAGGAAGCCACAAGUUGUUUGUCGAGGUCCAGUUGAUUGUAUAACUGAAAUAACUCCUCAAAUUGAAUACUAAUCAUGGGAAGUCCAAUGAAUUCAUGCUCUGGUUUCACUGCCACAUAGAUAGCGUUUUUCCCACACUCCCUGCAGGUUUUCAUGUACCACUCAUGCAAUCUGUGCAUCAUCGUUGUUAGAGCAGGAUGACCAGGUUUGACGAGAGGCUUCCCAUGCACAUAUUUAUAUUGUUCUUUUGUUACAUCAUCCCCAAGUAAUCAUCAUGAUUGGUACCGGGCACCAUCUCCGGAUGAUUAGCGACGACGAUAUCGAGCUCGGGAAUUGUUUUCCCACUUCUUCGUUCUGCUAACCUUGCAUCACUAGAAGUAGUUCCCGACCGCACCGCUUGUGCAUAUGUCUUUUUAAGAAUGCGGUCAUAGUUGGAAUCCGGCGGAGGCGAUGGUGGACACUGCAGUUGAUUGAUAGUGCGCUCCACUCUCGCCGGAUCUAUCUUCUCCUUGUGAGGUGGAGUUUUCUUUGCAAAAUGGGCCCUCAAUUCGGACUGACAUAUCUCCUCGUUUUCCUCCUUGGUCCUCUCAUAUGGUAACUUUUCCACAGGCUUGAGAGAUGGAUCGAAUUUACCGCCUCUGCUUGUACUGCUAGCCGCCGGAGAGAAGGAGGCGUUUCUCUUCCGCUUGAGAGAAGGAGGUGGACUGCUCUGACGCGCCGAACGAGCCAGAGCGGCGGCAUUUGUCUUCCGACGUUGCCGACGAGGCGAAGGAGGAGGCGGACUGCUCUGACGCGCCGGAGUAGACGAAGGAGGAGGCGAAGUGUCCUCACGCGUUGGAGGAGCUGGAUAAGGAGGCGGAGUGCCCUGAUCACGGGGGGAGGAGGAGGGUGAGGAGGCGGACUGCCCUGACUCGUCGGAGAAGAGGAGGAGGCGGAGGCGUCCAGUUUAGAAGCUUGAUGAACUCCUUCUGCCAUAGACAUGUACUCCCCACAGCACGAACCAGCUGAAUCUCCCCUUCACCUGUAGGAUGGUCAAGCUCGAGCUACUCAAAAUCCUCCAUUACUUGAUCCACCAUCGCAACAGCAUAGUGCUACGGCAACAAAAGUCCUUCAUUGGCACUAGGAAUUCUUCCUGCUACUUCUCUGGUUUGCGUUGGUUUUUCUCUUAAAGAGGAAAGGGUGAUGCAGCACAGGAGCAGUAAGUAUUUCCCUCAGUUUGAGAACCAAGGUAUCAAUCCAGAAGGAGGGUCUCGUCAAGUCAACAGUAACUGCAAAAACACAAACGAGCUUGCACCCAAUGCUUCAAAGGGGUUGUCAAUCCCUUCAAGAUUGUUUGCAAAGUGAGAUCUGAAGGCGGAAAGUGCAACUAAGUGAAAAGUGUAAGGCUGAAAAUAUGGUGUGGAGUAGACCCUGGGGGCCAUAGUGUUCACUAGAGGCUUCUCUCAAAAUAGUAAGUAUUACGGUGGGUGAAUAAAUUACUGUCGAGCAAUUGAUAGAACCGCGCAAAGUCAUGACGAUAUCUAAGGCAAUGAUCAUACAUAUAGGCAUCACGUCCGAGACAAGUAGACCGAUACUUUCUGCAUCUACUACUAUUACUCCACACAUCGAUCGCUAUCCAGCAUGCAUCUAGUGUAUUGAGUUCAUGACGAACAGAGUAACGCUUUAAGCAAGAUGACAUGAUGUAGAGGGAUAAUCUCAAACCAAUGAUGAAAACCCCAUCUUUUUACCCUUGAUGGCAACAACACGAUACGUGCCUCGCUACCCCUUCUGUCACUGGGUGACGUCACCGCACGGUAUGAACCCAAAACCAAGCACUUCUCCCAUUGCAAGAAUCAUAGAUCUAGUUGGCCAAACAAAACCCACAACUCGAAGAGAAUUACAAGGACAUGAAAUCAUGAAUAAGAGAGAUCAGAAGAAACUCAAAUAAUAUUCAUAGAUAAUCUGAUCAUAAAUCCAUAAUUCAUCGGAUCUUGACAAACACACCGCAAAAGAAGAUUACAUCGGAUAGAUCUCCAUGAAGAUCAUGGAUAACUUUGUAUUGAAGAUCCAAGAGAGAGAAGAAGCCAUCUAGUUACUAGCUAUGGACCCGUAGGUCUAUGGUGAACUACUCACGCAUCAUCGGAGAGGUCAUGGUGUUGAUGAAGAAGCCCUCCGUGUCCGAAUCCCCCCUCCGACAGGGCACCAGGACGUGCUCCAGAUGGGAUCUUGCGGAGACAGAAGCUUGCGGUGGCGGAAAAGUAAUUGCGAUCUUCUCUUGAUUUUUUGGGAAUAUUUGGGAAUAUAUAGGCGCAAGAUCUAGGUCAGGAGACCUCCAGGGGGGCCCACAAGCCUGGACGGCGCGCCCCCUGGCUGCGGGGUGGGGGCUUGUGGGGCCCCUGGGGCUCUUCUGGCUUGGCUCCCAAGUCCUCCGAUCUUCUUCCGUUCCAGAAAAAAUCCUUUUGGGUAUUUUCUUCCGUUUGGACUCCGUUUCGAAAUCUCCUCUGAAAGGGGUCAAAAACAUGGAAAAAAACAGGAACUGGCACUUGGCACUGAGUUAAUAAGGUAGUCCCAGAAAAUAAAUAAAAGGCAUGCAAAACAUCUAAAGUUUGACAAGAUAAUAGCAUGAAACCAUCAAAAAUUAUAGAUACGUUGGAGACGUAUCAAGCAUCCCCAAGCUUAACUCCUGCUCGUCCUCGAGUAGGGAAGUGAUAAAGAAUGAAUUUUUGAUGUGUAAUGCUACCUAGCAUAGUUGUCCUUUGCAACUUCUUUCACAUGACAUGAAUGUUCAGAUCCGUACGAUUCAAAGCAAUAGUUUGCUAUUGACAUGAAAACAGUAAUACUUCGAGCAAACUAGCAAAGUAAUCAUGAACUUUCAAAAUAACAAGGCCAAAGAAAGUUAUCCCUACAAAAUCAUAUAGUCUGGCUAUGCUCCAUCAUCCUCACACAACUAAUGUAAAUCAUGCACAACCCCGGAAUUGGCCAAGUAAUUGUUUUCACACUCUUACUUUCUGAAAACUUUUUAUAACUAUGACGCAAUACAUGAGCGCGAGCCAUGGAUAUAGCACUAUAGGUGGAAUAGAGUGUGGUGGUGGUUGUGAGACAAAAAGGGAGGAGAUGGUCACAUUGACUCGGCAUAUCAACAGGCUAUGGAGAUGCCCAUUAAUAGAUAUCAAUGUGAAUGAGUAGGGAUUGCCAUACAAGAGAUGCACUAGAGCUAUAGGUAUAUGAAAGCUCAAAAGGGAAACUAGUGGGUGUGCAUCCAACUUGCUUGCUCACGAAGACCUAGGGCAAUUUUGAGGAAGCCCAUCAUUGGAAUAUACAAGCCAAGUUAUAUUGUGAAGAUUCCCACUAGAAUAUGGUAGUGACAAAGCAAGAAGCUCUCAAUCAUGAAGAACAUGGUGCUAUCAUGAAGCACAAGUGUGAAAAAUAUAGUAGCAUUGUCCCUUCUCUCUUUUUUUUGGGCUCUUAGGCCUCUUUUUUUAUUUUCUUUUCUCUUCUUUGUUUGUUUUUGGGCUCUUUGGCCUCUUUUUUAUUUCCUCACAUGGGACAAUGCUCUAGUAGUGAUGAUCAUCACACUUCUAGUUACUCAAAGCUCAAAGAUCACAAUGAUGAUGACUCCAUAGGAAAUGCCUCCGGCAGUGUACCGGGAUGUGCAACGAUCUAGUAUGAUCAUGCAAUGGCAAUACGAGAGUGAUGGCACAAGUCAUGAGACGAAACGUUGGGAGUUGCAUGUCAAUAUAUCUCGGAAUGGCUAUGAAAAUGCCAUAGUAGGUAGGUAUGGUGGCUGUUUUGAGGAAGGAAUUUGGUGGGUUUAUGCACCAGCGAGAAUUGCGCGGUACUAGAGAGGCUAGCAAUGGUGGAAGGCGAAAGUGCAUCUAUACCAUGGGCUCACAUUAGUCAUGAAGAACUCAUAUACUUAUUGCAAAAGUUUUUAUUAGUAAUCGAAACAAAGUGCUAAACGCAUACUCCGAGGGGAAGGGUUGGUAGGUGUAAACCAUCGCGCGAUCCUGACCUCAGCACAAAGGAUGACAAUCAAUAGACCAAUUAUGCUCCGACUUCCUAACAUAGCGGUUCACCAUACGUGCAUGCUACGGGAAUCACUAACUCCAACACAAGUAUCUCUAGAUUCACAACACCCUACUAACAUAACUCUCAAUAUUACCGAAUCCACGUCUCAAAAACUAAUUGAGAGGAAUCAAAACUUCUCUUUCUAUUCAAUGCACAUGAAGAUGGAGGUUUUUGCAUCCUCUUUGGGUACCUGGCACAUUUGGGACUACUUUCAUAGCAUAAGCCAACUACCAAAUCACGCACCGCCGUGCUCUAAAGAUAUAAGUGAAGCACAAGAGCAAAAGGUAUAUAGCUCAGAGGAUAUAAGUGAAGCACUAGAGCAACAAUAUCUAGCUCAAAAGAUAUAAGUGAAGCACUAGAGAAAAAGUAUCUAGCUCAAAAGAUAUAAGUGAAGCACUAGAGCAAAAGUAUCUAGCUCAAAAGAUAUAAGUGAAGCACUAUGAGCAUUCUAGCAAAAUCACGAUGAGUGCAUGUCUCUCUCUCUCAAAAAGGUGUGCAGCAAGGAUGAUUGUGACACAACAAAAAGAAAAGACUCCUAAGAUACAAGACGCUCCAAGAAAAACACAUAUCAUGUGGUGAAUAAAAAUAUAGCUCCAAGUAAUGUUACCGAUGGAUUGAAGACGAAAGAGGGGAUGCCUUCCCGGGGCAUCCCCAAGCUUAGGCUUUUUGGUGUCCUUGAAUUUGGCUUGGGGUGCCUUGGGCAUCCCCAAGCUUGAGCUCUUUCCACUCCUUGUCUCUUUGUCCAUGAGAACGUCACCCAAAACUUGAAAACUUCACAACACAAAAUUUAAACAGAAACUUGUGAUAACAUUAGUACAAGAAAACAAACUACCACUUCUUUUGGUACUGUAGCAAACUUGAAUUCUAUCUAUAUUGAUGAUGGGGUACUGUAUUAUCACUUUCCCAUGGCUAGUACCCCUCGAUACUAACCAUAGUUACAUCAAAACAAGCAACCAACCCAACAAAAACAGAAUCUGUCAAAAACAGACCAGUCUGUAGCAAUCUGUAUACUUCUGGUACCUCAAAAAAUCUGAAAAAUUACGAAGGUCUGGGGAAAAAGCAUAUCAAUCAGCAGCAAAAAGAAUCAACUCAAAAUAUAUUUUUGAAUAAAAAUGAAAAAUGAUCUCGUGAGCGAAAAGUUUAUGUCUUUUACAGCAGGAUCAAACAACCAUUACCAAGACUAGUCAUAAAGGUUUUGCUUGGCUCAAACACAAAAAGAAACACAAAAAACACAAUCACAACAGAAUUAUGAAAGUGUGGACGCAACAAAACAGAAAGAAAAAGAUAAAUUCAUUGGGUUGCCUCCCAACAAGCGCUAUUGUUUAACGCCCUUAGCUAGGCAUAGAAGCGAUAGAAUCAUGUAUCGUCGUCUUUGGUGCUCAAACCAUAAGUGGCCCUCAUCAUGGAUUCAUAAGGCAAUCUUAUUUUCUUUCUAGGAAAGUGUUCCAUACCCUUCCUUAAAGGAAAUUGAAAUCUAAUAUUCCCUUCCUUCAUAUCGAUGAUAGCACCAAUAGUCCUUAGGAAAGGUCUACCAAGAAUAAUAGGACAUGUAGUAUUGCAAUCAAUGUCAAGCACAAUGAAAUCCACGGGUAUAUAGUUCCUAUUUGCAAUAAUAAGAACAUCAUUGAUCCUUCCCAUGGGUUUCUUGAUAGUAGAAUCAGCAAGAUGCAAAUUAAGAGAACACUCUUCAAUCUCAUUAAAACCCAGAACAUCACAUAAAGACUUUGGAAUCGCAGAAACACUAGCACCCAAAUCACACAAAGCAUUGCACUCAUAAUUUUUGAUUUUGAUUUUGAUGGUAGGUUCCCACUCAUCCUGAAGAUUUCUAGGGAUAGAGACUUCCAAUUCAAGUUUCUCUUCAAGAGUUUUUAUCAUAGCUUCGACGAUAUGAUCGGUAAAGGAUUUGUUUUGGCUAUAAGUGUGUGGAGAGUUUAACAUGGAUUGCAUGAAAGAAAUGAAUUCAAUCAAGGAGCAACUAUCAUAAUUGAUUUCCUUGAAAUCCACGGUAGUAAUUUCAUUACUACUCAAAGUUUUAACGUCUUCUACUCCACUUUUAAUGCUUUUAACAUCAAUAUAGAUGACUCCGAAUCAUUGGGGUACUUUUCAACCAAAGUGGAUUCAUAUCCAGCCCCAUAAUCAUUAGGUUUGACACAAGAAAACAAAGAUUCAAUGGGAGUCACACCAAGCACUUUAAGAUCUUCGUGAUUCUCAUCACGAGAACACGCCUUUUUGAGCCAUUCAUGUCUAGCACGAAUUUGGGUGGUUCUUUCUUGGCUCUCAAUCAUGGAAACACGCAUAGAUUUCAAAGUUUCAUGCAUGUUUAUUUUGGGAGGAGCACAUCUAACUUUCAAAGCAUCAACAUCACAAGAAAUCCUAUCAACGCUCUUAGCCAAAUCGUCAAUUUUGAGUAGUUUUUCCUCUAUGGACGCAUUGAAAAUCUUUUGAGAGUUGACGAAUUCUUUGAUAUUACUCUCUAGAUCAGAGGGUAAUAUAUUGUAAUUUCCAUGAGUAUUGUUGUCGGAGUUGCCAAAAUUAUUAAAGGAGUUACUAGGAAAAGGCCUAGGAACAUAGUUUCCUCUAAAAGCAUUGUUGUUGCCAAAGUUAUUCCUACCAACAAAAUUAACGUCCAAGCUAGCGUUGCUACUCUCAAUCAAAGAAGACAAAGGCAUAUCAUUAGGAUCCAAAGGAGCACUUCUACUAGCAACCAAAUUCAUUAACUCAUCCAUCUUAGCACUCAACGAGUUAAUUUCAUCUAUAGCGUGUACCUUCUUACUAGUAGGUGACCUUUCAGUGUGCCACUGAGAGUAGUUUGUCAUGAUGUUCUCUUAGAGCUUUGUGGCUUCUCCUAACGUGAUUUCCAUGAACGUUCCACCUGAGGCGGAGUCCAAGAUAUUUCUAGAAGCGAAAUUCAAGCCAACAAUUUUUUUUGAAUAAUCAUCCAAAGACUCAAGCCAUGAGCGGGACAAUUUCUAAUCAUUAAUUUCAUUCUCUCCCAAGCUUGUGCAACAUGUUCAUGAUCAAGUUGCUUGAAAUUCAUGAUAUCAUUACGGAGAGAGAUGAUCUUAGCCGGCGGAAAAUACUUGGAUAUAUAAGCAUCUUUGCACUUAUCCCAAGAAUCGAUACUAUUUUUGGGCAAAGAAGAAAACCAAGUUUUUGCGCGAUCUUGCAACGAGAAAGAAAAAAGUUUCAAUUUAAUCACAUCAUUAUCCACAUGUUUUUUAUUUUGCAUAUCGCAAAGCUCAAUGAAGGUAUUGAGAUGGGAUGCGGCAUCUUCACUAGGAAGGCCAGAGAAUUGCUCUUUCAUAACAAGAUUCAGCAAAGCGGCAUUGAUUUCGUAUGACUCCGCACUAGUGGCGGGAGCAAUCGGAGUACUAAUAAAAUCAUUAUUAUUAGUAUUCGUGAAGUCACAAAGUUUGGUGUUUUCGUUCAUGGUGAGCUCAGCAAGCAAGCAAUCACCCAAGCAAACAAAAAGCAGGCGAGAAAAAGGGCGAACAAAAAGGGCGAACGAAAAGGCGAACGAAAAAGGCAAAUUGGUGAAGUGGGGGAGAGGAAAACGAGAGGGAACUGGCAAACAAAGUAAAUGCAAGAGAUGAGUUUGCGACACCUACUUGGAUGAGUUCUUGACUUGAUCUUCCUCCCCAGCAACGGCGCCAGAAAUUCUUCUGCUACGGCAACAAAAGUCCUUCCUUGGCGCUAGUAAUUCUUCUUACUACUUCUCUGGUUUGCAUUUGUUUUUCCCUUGAAGAGGAAAGGGUGAUGCAUCACAGGAGCAGUAAGUAUUUCCCUCAGUUUGAGAACCAAGGUAUCAAUCCAGAAGGAGGGUCUCGUCAAGUCCAUAGUACCUGCAUAAACACAAACGAGCUUGCACCCAAUGCUUCAAAGGGGUUGUCAAUCCCUUCAAGAUUGUUUGCAAAGUGAAAUCUGAAGGCGGAAAGUGCAAUGAACAGAAAAGUGUAAGGCUAAAAAUAUGGUGUGGAGUAGACCCUGGGGGCCAUAGUGUUCACUAGAGGCUUCUCUCAAAAUAACAAGUAUUACGAUGGGUGAACAAAUUAUUGUCGAGCAAUUUAUAGAACUGCGCAAAGUAAUGACGAUAUCUAAGGCAAUGAUCAUACAUAUAGGCAUCACAUCCGAGACAAGUAGACCGACACUUUCUGCAUCUACUACUAUUACUCCACACAUCGACCGCUAUCCAGUAUGCAUCUAGUGUAUUGAGUUCAUGACGAACAGAGUAAUGCUUUAAGCAAGAUGACAUGAUGUAGAGGGAUAAUCUCAAACCAAUGAUGAAACCUCAUCUUUUUACCCUUGAUGGCAACAACACGAUGUUGGGGAACGUUGCAUGGGAAACAAAAAUUUUCCUACGCGCACGAAGUCCUAUCAUGGUGAUGUCCAUCUACGAGAGGGGAUUUCCGAUCUACGUACCCUUGUAGAUCGCACAGCAGAAGCGUUAGUGAACGCGGUUGAUGUAGUGGAACAUCCUCACGUCCCUCGAUCCGCCCCGCGAACCGUCCCACGAACCGUCCCGCGAUCCGUCCCACGAUCCGCUCCGAUCUAGUGCCGAACGGACGGCACCUCCGCGUUCAGCACACGUACAGCUCGAUGAUGAUCUCGGCCUUCUUGAUCCAGCAAGAGAGACGGAGAGGUAGAUGAGUUCUCCGGCAGCAUGACGGCGCUCCGGAGGUUGGUGGUGAUCUAAUCUCAGCAGGGCUCCGCCCGAGCUCCGCAGAAAUGCGAUUUAGAGGUAAAACCGUGGAGGUAUGUGGUCGGGCUGCAAUGGCAAAAGUUGUCUCAAAUCAGCCCUAAUAGCUCCAUAUAUAUAGGAGGAGGGGAGGGUAGGCUUGCCUUGAGGCUCAAGGAGCCCCAAGGGCUGCGCCACCAAGGGAGGAGGAGUCCUCCCCCAAUCCUAGUCCAACUAGGAUUGGAAGGUGGAGUCCUUCUCUCCUUUCCCACCUCCUUUUUUUAUUUUCUCUUUGAUUUUCUAUCUAUGGUGCAUAGGGCCUUCUUGGGCUGUCCCACCAGCCCACCAAGGGCUGGUGCGCCACCCCCAAGGCCUAUGGGCUUCCCCGGGGUGGGCUGCCCCCCCGGUGAACACCCGGAACCCAUUCGUCAUUCCCGGUACAUUCCCGGUAACUCCGAAAACCUUCCGGUAAUCAAAUGAGGUCAUCCUAUAUAUCAAUCUUCGUUUCCGGACCAUUCCGGAAACCCUCGUGACAUCCGUGAUCUCAUCCGGGACUCCGAACAACAUUCGGUAACCAACCAUAUAACUCAAAUACGCAUAAAACAACGUCGAACCUUAAGUGUGCAGACCCUGCGGGUUCGAGAACUAUGUAGACAUGACCCGAGUGACUCCUCGGUCAAUAUCCAAUAGCGGGACCUGGAUGCCCAUAUUGGAUCCUACAUAUUCUACGAAGAUCUUAUCGUUUGAACCUCAGUGCCAAGGAUCCAUAUAAUCCCGUAUGUCAUUCCCUUUGUCCUUCGGUAUGUAACUUGCCCGGGAUUCGAUCGUCAGUAUCCGUAUACCUAUUUCAAUCUCGUUUACCGGCAAGUCUCUUUACUCAUUCCGUAAUACAAGAUCCCGCAACUUACACUAAGUCACAUUGCUUGCAAGGCUUGUGUGUGAUGUUGUAUUAUCGAGUGGGCCCCGAGAUACCUCUCCUUCACACGGAGUGACAAAUCCCAGUCUCGAUCCAUACUAACUCAACGAACACCUUCGGAGAUUCCUAUAGAGCAUCUUUAUAGUCACCCAGUUACGUUGCGACGUUUGAUACACACAAAGCAUUCCUCCGGUGUCAGUGAGUUAUAUGAUCUCAUGGUCAUAGGAACAAAUACUUGAUACGCAGAAAACAGUAGCAACAAAAUGACACGAUCAACAUGCUACGUCUAUUAGUUUGGGUCUAGUCCAUCACAUGAUUCUCCUAAUGAUGUGAUCCCGUUAUCAAGUGACAACACUUGCCUAUGGUCAGGAAACCUUGACCAUCUUUGAUCAACGAGCUAGUCAACUAGAGGCUUACUAGGGACAGUGUUUUGUCUAUGUAUCCACACAUGCACUGUGUUUCCAAUCAAUACAAUUAUAGCAUGGAUAAUAAACGAUUAUCAUGAACAAAGAAAUAUAAUAAUAACUAAUUUAUUAUUGCCUCUAGGGCAUAUUUCCAACACACGAUACGUGCCUCGCUACCCCUUCUGUCACUGGGUGAGGUCACCACACGGUAUGAACCCAAAACCAAGCACUUCUCCCAUUGCAAGAAUCAUAGAUCUAGUUGGCCAAAAAAAACCCACAACUCGAAGAGAAUUACAAGGAUAUGAAAUCAUGCAUAAGAGAGAUGAGAAGAAACUCAAAUCAGAUUCAUAGAUAAUCUGAUCAUAAAUCCACAAUUCAUCGGAUUUCAACAAACACAUCGCAAAAGAAGAUUACAUCGGAUAUAUCUCCAUGAAGAUCAUGGAGAACUUUGUAUUGAAGAUCCAAGAGAGAGAAGAAGACAUCUAGUUACUAGCUAUGGACCCAUAGGUCUAUGGUGAACUACUCACGCAUCAUCGGAGAGGUCAUGGUGUUGAUGAAGAAGCCCUCCGUGUCCGAAUCAACCCUCCGGAAGGGCACCAGGACGUGCCCCAGAUGGGAUCUUGCGGAGAUAGAAGCUUGCGGCGGUGGAAAAGUAAUUGCGAUCGUCUCUUGAUUAUUUUGGGAAUAUAUAGGCGUAAGAUCUAGGUAAGGAGACCUCCAGGGGGCCCACAAGCCUGGACGGCGCGGCCCCCCUGGCCGCGGGGUGGGGGAUUGUGGGGCCCCUGGGGCUCUUCUAGCUUGGCUCCCAAGUCCUCCGAUCUUUUUCCGUUCCAGAAAAAUAUUUUUGGGUAUUUUCUUCCGUUUGGACUCCGUUUCAAAAUCUCCUCUGAAAGGGGUCAAAAACAUGGAAAAAACAGGAACUGGCACUUGGCACUAAGUUAAUAAGUUAGUCCCAGAAAAUAAAUAAAAGGCAUGCAAAACAUCUAAAGUUUGACAAGAUAAUAGCAUGAAACCAUCAAAAAUUAUAGAUACGUUGGAGACGUAUCACAUAGCCAUGUGGAAUCGGAAGACAGUGAAAAGUUCUGUUGGGUUGAGGGGGUUCAACAGAGCCGACAACCGCCUUGAAAGUGAGGUUCCGACAUUUCAUCAUAAGCUCGCAACGUUGAGCCUCCGUGAUAGUAUCCACGGGGUAGCUAGGAGCCAUGAAGUCAUGCUGAACAGACUCCAUGGAAGCCACGCUGCUUCUUGCUACUUCUCAAACAACAGCUCCAGAAAUUGACACGUUGACGGAGACUGGGCUUGCGUUGGUUUUUCCCUUGAAGAGGAAAGGGUGAUGUAGCACAGGAGCAAUAAGUAUUUCCCUUAGUUUGAGAACCAAGGUAUCGAUCCAGAAGGAGGGUCUCGUCAAGUCCAGAGUACCUGCGCAAACACAAACAAGCUUGCACCCAACGCUUCGAAGGGGUUGUCAAUCCCUUCAAGAUUGUUUGCAAAGUGAGAUCUGAAGGCGGAAAGUGCAACGAAGUAAAAAGUGUAAGGCUGAAAAUAUGGUGUGGAGUAGACCCUGGGGCCCAUAGUGUUCACUAGAGGCUUCUCUCAAAAUAGCAAAUAUCACGGUGGGUGAACAAAUUACUGUCGAGCAAUUGAUAGAACCGCACAAAGUCAUGACGAUAUCUAAGGCAAUGAUCAUACAUAUAGGCAUCACGUCCGAGACAAGUAGACCGAUACUUUCUGCAUCUACUACUAUUACUCCACACAUCGACCGCUAUCCAGCAUGCAUCUAGUGUAUUGAGUUCAUGACGAACAGAGUAACGCUUUAAGCAAGAUGACAUGAUGUAGAGGGAUAAUCUCAAACCAAUGAUGAAAACCCCAUCUUUUUACCCUUGAUGGCAACAACACGAUACGUGCCUCGCUACCCCUUCUGUCACUGGGUGAAGUCACCGCACGGUAUGAACCCAAAACCAAGCACUUCUCCCAUUGCAAGAAUCAUAGAUCUAGUUGGCCAAACAAAACCCACAACUCGAAGAGAAUUACAAGGAUAUGAAAUCAUGCAUAAGAGAGAUCAGAAGAAACUCAAAUCAGAUUCAUAGAUAAUCUGAUCAUAAAUCCACAAUUCAUCGGAUUUCAACAAACACAUCGCAAAAGAAGAUUACAUCGGAUAUAUCUCCAUGAAGAUCAUGGAGAACUUUGUAUUGAAGAUCCAAGAGAGAGAAGAAGCCAUCUAGUUACUAGCUAUGGACCCGUAGGUCUAUGGUGAACUACUCACGCAUCAUCGGAGAGGUCAUGGUGUUGAUGAAGAAGCCCUCCGUAUCUGAAUCUCCCCUCCGGUAGGGCACCAGAACAUGCCCGAGAUGGGAUCUUGCAGAAACAGAAGCUUGCGUCGGCGGAAAAGUACUUUCGAUGAUCUCCUGAUUUUUUUGGGAUUUUUAGGGAAUUUAUAGGUGCAACCCCUAGGGCAAAGGGCUCCCAGGGGGCCCACAAGCCUGUGGGCCGCGGCUUCCUCCUGGCCACGGGGUGGGGGAUUGUGGGGCCCCUGAGGCUCCCCUGCCUUGGCUCUCAAGCUUCCCGAUCUUCUUCCGUUCCGGGAAAAAUAUUUUCGGGGAUUUUCUUCCGUUUGGACUCCGUUUCAAAAUCUACUCUGAAAGGGGUCAAAAACAUGGAAAAAACAAGAACUGGCACUUGGCACUGAGUUAAUAAGUUAGUCCCAAAAAAUAUAUAAAAGGCAUGCAUAACAUCCAAAGUUUGACAAGAUAAUAGCAUGAAACCAUCAAAAAUUAUAGAUACGUUGGAGACGUAUCACUUCUCCGCUGAGAUGGUGGGGUACCUUCUAGGGUAGCUUCGUGCCGUUGAGAUGGUUGGCCGGCAGCUCGCUAGCUCUCAAGUUCCUCUAGCUUUUGCAGUCUUGCCUUGAUCUGCUGCAUGUCGCUCGGCUCCGCUUUCCUCUUUCUCUCCCGGCUUCUGUAACCGCUUGCGUUAGGAAACCCAAACUUCCACGGAAUGGAGCCUGGUGUACCUCGUGUUCGUCCAGGGUGCUCAGCAUUCCCUAGGGCCUCAGUCAGCUCGUCAUUCUCUUUUUCUGUAAUGAACGUCCCUUCCUGCGCUGCGGCGAUACACUUCUGAAGCUUGAUCAUGGGUAUUGCAAGUUUCUCGUCCGUCCAAUGACACUUCGCUGUUUCACGGUCCAAAGUUACCCCAACCCCGAAGAACCAAGUCCUUGAAUGCUCUGGCCAGUUCAAUGUCUGUGGUUGGACCCCUUUAGCAAUCAGGUCAUUGUGAGCUUUGUCCCAGAAGGCUUUGAGGUAGCCACAUGACCCCGUGUGAUGGUGAUACUGCUUCUUUGCAGCAUUGUUCUUGUUUGUCUCUGUCAUUUUCUUACUCUUCUCCGAUGACUUGAAGGCCACAAAUGCGGGCCUGUGAUCUCUUAUCUUCUCAAAUCGGUCGACGAAUUCUGGAGUCUUCCCUUUGUCGACAAACAUUGAUUUCAAAUUAUUCUUCCACUUCCCGAAUAGAUGUGCCAUCUUAUUAAGAGCACACGCCUUGAGAAGUGGCUGUAUAACUGGCUUAUUCGGAUCUUCCUCUGGCGGUAGGGUGAAAUUUGCCUUCAGCACGGUCCAAAGAUCAUAUUUUUGCCGAUUGGUGACAUAAUCACCUUCAGGGACGUCGUCAGCAUUAGGCUUUUUCCAUUGCUUGACGCUGAUUAGGAUGUUGUCCCUAACAAUAGCUCCGCACUGAGCAGAAAAUGCGUCCUUGGUCAGCUUGGAUUCAAUCGGUAGGCCAUCUGCCGCGAUUGCUGUGAUUGUGAACUUCUCAUCCAUGCGCAACCUUCUCUUCGGGCCUCGUCUCUUUACUAAAGUUUGGCUCGAUCCGGAGGGCUAUAAAAGAAGAAAGAAUGAAGUGUUAAUAUAUGUACAUACCUUCGGGCUUAAUUAAUAUAUAUACCUCGCCGGACUUUGUAACAUCUCCCUCCUCCGUUCGGUCACUGGAGCCGUCAUCAUGGUCUCCUUCUUCCUCCGGCCUUCGAUCAGCGGAGCCAUUAUGAUCAUGUCCUUCCUCCUCCAUCGUUUGAUCAUCCGAGCCGUCAUCCUCUCCUUCUAGACCAUCGGUGUCGUUGAGAUACGAAAAAUAAUCACCGACCAUUAUCUCCCCCAACAACUGUUCUCUUUGAUCCAUAUAGUUUCUGCAAAUAAUUACCGAGCAUUAUCUCCGCCAACAACUUUUUUAUAUUUCAUUUUCAAAUGUUGAAUAGUUCAUAGAUGUACGUUAUGAUAUAUAAUGCAAUAGAUCUCAAUAGGCAAAAAUGUUUUCUUUCAGUUAGAACCAAUAAUCAACUUAAUACAUCUCGAAUUUAAUCUCGAAUACAUCUCUAGUAUAAUCUAUAUAUGAACAAAAUUUGCAUGAACAACAAUAAGCAGGGGCGGCGGCGGCGACAAGGAGAGCACACAGAGGAGGAGCUCACCGGGGCCGAUGGGCUUGGGGCGGCGGCGGCGACAAGGAGAGCACACAGAGGAGGAGCUCACCGGGGCCGAUGGGCUUGGGGCGGCGAGGANNNNNNNNNNNNNNNNNNNNNNNNNNNNNNNNNNNNNNNNNNNNNNNNNNNNNNNNNNNNNNNNNNNNNNUUUGGGGGAAAUUUCGACAACUCCCGCCUAUAUGCGAAAACCUUUUGUCCCGGUUGGUGGCCCGAACCGGCAUCAAUACCACCCUUUUGUCCGGUUGACUCAGCAAACUGUGACUAAAGGUCAAUUUUUAGUAGCCCAAAUGGCGGGGAAGAAGAUACCUGUACUCCCGGUUUGCGGAACCAACCGGGACGAAAGGGGGCCAUUUAUCCCGGUUUGUGCGACCAACUGACACUAAAGUAUGUCUCUAGUCCUGGUUUGUGCCACAAACCGACACGAAAGGCCUGCGCCUAGCACAGCCGCGGUGCGGUUAGACGUUUAGUCCCACCUCGCUAGCCGAGGGAGAUGUGUAGUGGUUUAUAAGUGCUUGUGCACACACAGUGUCGAGCUCCUCUCAUAUGCAGGCUUCUGGGCCUAAACUGUCACUAGUUGUUGGGCCUUCUGCGGGCCUGAAUCCUGGCCCAACUAUCUAGUUGGGUUUCUAGUCGUAUUCAUGACGUGGUGGCCCAUUAGUUGACAUUUCUUUUUAAAGAAUAUAGUUUUUUUGUUCCUACUUACUGUUUUUCAGUGAUUCUUUAUAUUUUUUGGAAUUAUUUUAACUCCAGACAUUUUGUAUGUUCAAAAUGCACGAUUCAAAGCCACAUCAACUAUUUUUCAACUAUUUCUGACUUGAUUUAGUAUUUUUCAUGCAUUUAUUGAUUUUUUGACCUAAAUGACCCAGAAAUUGAAAAGCACUACAAAUGAACUAUGAAUAGAUUGAAAGUUGGCAUGAUAUCAUCAUUUCACCCACAUAUCAUGUGCUAAAAAGUUGAGAAGGUUGCGGCAAAAACUGCACGCACUUCGUGUAUAAAUCGGACAAUCUCUUUCGAAGUAUCAGGGUUUCAUACAAAAACUCAUCUAUUACAAAAGGGAAUUCAUUCUUUGGAAUUCUUUGGCCUCCACCUUUUGUGUGUUCAAAAUGCACCAUUCAAAGCCACAUCAUCAAUUUUCAACUAUUUCUGACUUCAUUUGGUAUUUUUCAUGCUAUUAUUGAUUUUUUUGACCUAAAUGACCCAGAAAUUAAAAAGCACUACAAAUGAACUCUGAAUAGGUUGGAAGUUGGCAUAGUAUCAUCAUUUCACCCACAUAGCAUGUGAUAAAAAGUUGAUAGGGUUGCGGCAAAAACUGGACGCACUUCAUGUACAAAUCGGACAAUCUCUUUCGAAGUAUCAUGGUUUCAUAUGAAAAACUCAUCUGUUACAAAAGGGAUUUCAGUUUUUGGAAUUAUUUGAACUCCAGAACUUUUGUGUGUUUCAAAUGCACCAUUCAAAGCCACAUCAUUAAUUUUCAACUAUUUCUGACUUCAUUUGGUAUUUUUCAUGCAUUGAUUGAUUUUUUGACCUAAAUGACCUAGAAAUUGAAAAGCAUUACAAAUGAACUCUGAAUAGGAUGAAAGUUGGCAUGGUAUCAUCAUUUCACCCACAUAGCAUUUUGUGUUUGCGCCAAGUAAGUUCUUUGGGAUGGUCUAUGGUGUUUGCAAUUCAAUUUUGCUGAAAAAAUAGAAACUUUCGACCUCAGUCCAGGAAUUUUUAUAAUUCACCGAAACAUGCUUUUGAUCUCAGUUUUCUUCACAAGAUUUAUAUACAAUUUACCCAGAUUGUCUUAUUUUUUCAUAAUUUUUGUAGUUACAUAAGUAUUCGAAUUAUACAGAUUACUUCCGACUAUUGUGUUUUUGACAGAUUCUGUUUUCUUUGUGUUGCUUGCUUAUAUCGAUGUAUCUAUGUGUUGUAUCAGGGGGUACGAACCAUGGGGAAGUUUGAAUAUAGUAAAUAUUACAGCAAUAUGAAUAAACAAUUAGUUCACAACAAUACCUAAAGUGGUGAUGAAUAAAAAAAGGGCUAAAUAACCAUUCAAAUUUGGAAACUAUAUAAUGGCACAAACAGAUACUAGAUAUAUAUAAAUUGGUCCAAGUAGUUCAUAAUAAUACAUGCAAGCAAUACAUAAUAAUAGCUAGCAUACAUACAUANGUUCUAGGAGGUGAUGUUGGCCAUAGUUCACGAUACUAAUCUUGCGGUACAACUCGUAUGCAACGUAUGCAUCUUUUGCUUCAUAUUCAAUGUUGAUAGGGUCAAGUGGGGUCUUCCCCUACUUCUUGUGCUGAGACUUCGGGAAAGCCCUCUUCAUUUCAUGGUACUCCUCGUCGAUCAAGGCGACUGCCAUAUCAGCCAUCGAAGUCCUCGAAUGUUGAAGCUGGCAUAGGCCUUGGAGAUCAAUGUGGCACUCAGCUGGUAUCUCAAUACCAAAGCCACGACUCAUAAUCGGCUUGUCGUUCGUUAUGUCAACGCUAGCGAAACGUAUGCCGCUGCGAAGGAAGUCCAUGAGUUCUGGACAAUGCUUGUCACUACUGCAACAUCAACAAAUUAAAAUGGAACAAAUGUUACAUACUGCUGCAACAAGGAAAAAUGUUUCAAUACAACUAAAGAGAAAUUUAUCAUAAUGAUUCAAAUGGAACAUAUUUCUAUUCUAUGAAAUUUUCAUAUCCUAUGAAUUGAUCUUUAUAGGAUUCCAAUAUUGUAACAUAUUGCUAUGCGAUGGAAUUUUCAUAUCCUAUGAAUUGAUGAAGAAACCCUCAAGUAACUAUCCAAUGGAACAUAUAAAGAAACUGCAUAUUGCUAUCCAAUGGAACCUAGAGAGAUCAAUAUACGCAAUUUUCAUAACCUUUGGAUCAAAGAAAGCCUCAAAACUUACCAAUGAAAAAUUGUUUCACUACAACUAAAUAGAAAUUAAUCUUUAUAGGAUUCCAAUAUUGUAACAUAUUGCUUUACUAUGCAAUUUUCAUAUCCUAUGAAUUCAUAAAGAAACCCUCAAUUAACUAUAUAUCCAAUGGAACAUAUAUAGAAAUUGCAUAUUUCUAUCCAAUGGAACCUAGGGAGAUAAAUAUAUGCAAUUUUCAUAACCUUGGAUCAAAGAAAGCCUAUGUUGUAAUAUAUCCAAUGGAACCUAGGGAGAUCAAUAUAUGCUAUCCAAUGGAACCUAGGGAGAUCAAUAUAUCCAAUGUUGUAACACAUAUUGCUAUCCUAUGCAAUUUUCAUGUCCUAUGAAUUGAUUAAGAAACCCUCAAUUAACUAUCCAAUGGAACGUAUAUAGAAAAUCCAUAUUGCUAUCAAAUGGAACCUAGAGAAGAUCAAUACAUGCAAUUUUCAUAACCUUGGAUCAAACAAAGACUCAACACUUACCUCGCCCAUUGGAAGAUCAAGACAUGUUGUUUGAAACACAGCUGGAUGACGACAACACCUUGAUGGUUGGUCGUGUACUCUAGAUCGAGCCCCAAGAACGCCUCAUGCUCCGACGCGGCGUAAACCCACUCCCGGAACCAUGAAAGAAAAUUUGGCACUGCCCAGCUCCCGUUUGUGUACUCGACCCUGAGUUUGGUCGUGUCAUGUGCGCGCACCUCUCUGGUAUCAUAUGUCAUGGUGAAAGAAGAAUGGAAGAAGAGAGGGGAAGAAGAGAGGAAGAAGAAGAACAUAGGAGAGGAGAAGAACAGAGAAUGGCGAUAGACUCUUCUUCGGUUGCAGUUUUCAUCGCUGGAAACAACGCGGGAGGGCGAACCGUUUGGUCCUUUAGUCCCGGGUUGGACGACAAACCGGCACUAAAGGGGUGAUUCGAAGGGCCGCCACCCUGGUUUGAUCCACCAACCGGGACUAAAGGAGGAUACGAACGGUUGUACGAACGCCCGCCACCACACCUUAGUCCCGGUUUGAUCCACCAACCGAGACUAAAGGGGAUACGAACGGUUGCCAACCUAUUAGUCCCGGUUCUUGACUGGAACCGAGACAAAAGGGGUGAGACGAACAGGGACCAAUGGCCCACGAUGCCGGCCGGCGCCCUGGCCUCACGAACCGGGACCAAUGUCACCAUAGGUCCCGGUUCGUAUGUGAACCAGGACUCAUAGGAUUUCAGGACCUGGACCAAAACCCUCUUUUCUACUAGUGAUAAUUGAUCUUUCUUUUAUUGAUGUACCUCCUACCGAUCCUUUAGAACAAUAUUUUCUAGACCAUGCGAAUGACAUGCAUGUGAAUGGAAGGAAUAAAAUAGAUAAUAUACUCCUUGAUCAACAACCUAUUCUUAAGCACAACCUCCUAGUUGAAAUUUUAGCUGGUCCUCCUCCACCCAAGGGAGACCCCGUGUUUAAUCUCAAGGCUUUACCCGAUACUUGGCAAUACGCAUAUCUUGAUGACAAGAAGAUAUGUCAUGUUAUUAUUACUACUAACCUAUCAGAGCAUGAAGAAAGGAGAUUAUUCAAAAUCUUAAAGAAGCACAUGGCGGCUAUUGGCUAUACUCUUGAUGAUCUUACAAGCAUAAGCCCUACUCUCUGUCAGCACAAGAUUAAUAUGGAACCGGAUGCCAAACUAGUCAUUCAUCAUCAACCUUGCCUCAAUCCUAAAAUGAAGGAGUUGGUAAGAACUGAAAUACUAAAACUUCUAGAAGCAUGCAUAAGUUAUCAUAUUGCUAAUAGUAGAUGGGUAAGUCCUGUUCAUUGUGUUCCUAAGAAAGGUGGUAUAACUGUUGUUCCCAACGAUAAAAAAUAACUCAUUCCACAAAGGAUAGUAACUGGUUAUAGGAUGGUGAUUGCUUUUAGGAAAUUGAAUAAAGCUAUUAGGAAAGAUCAGUAUCCUUUUCCUUUUAUUGAUCAAAUGUUAGAAAGAUUAUCUAAGCACACACACUUUUGUUCCAUUGAUGGGUACUCUGGAUUUUCUCAAAUACCUCUGUCAAAAGAGGACCAAGAGAAAACCACCUUUACUUGUCCUUUUGGAACUUAUGCUUAUAGACGUAUGCCUUUUGGUCUAUGCAAUGCACCUGCUACCUUUCAUAGAUGUACGACUACUAUAUUUUUUGACAGUUGUGAAUAGAUUGUUGAAGUUUUCAUGGAUGAUUUCUUUGUUCACAUGACUUGUUUUGAUGAUUGCUUAAGCAACCUUGAUCGAGUGUUGCAGAUAUGUGAAUAAACUAAUCUUGUCUUGAAUUGGGAGAAGUUCCACUUUAUGGUGAACGAAGGUAUAAUGCUUGGGCAUAAAAUUUACGAACGAGGUAUUGAGGUGGAUAAAACCAAAGUUGAUGCAAUAGAGAAAAAGCCUUGUCCAAAAUAUAUCAAAGGCAUAAGAAGUUUCCUUGGUCAAGUUGCUUUCUAUAGACGUUUCAUUAAAGAUUUCUCAAAGAUUUAUAGGCCAUUAACUACUUCUUCAAAAAGAUGCUGCUUUUAUUUUUGAUGAGGAUUGUGAAGAAGCCUUUGAAAUACAUAAGAAAGCCUUAAUUUCUGCACAGAUCGUUCAACCACCUGAUUGGAAUUUACCCUUUGAAUUUAUGUGUGGUGCUAGUGAUUAUACUAUUGGUGCUGUCCUAGGGAAACAAUAGAUAAGAAACGUAAUGCUAUUCAUUAUGCUAGUAAGACCCUAGAUACUACUCAAAGAAAUUAUGCUACUACUGAAAAUGAAUUUUUAGCAGUUGUGUUAGCGUGUGAUAAAUUUAGACCUUACAUUGUUGAUUCCAAAGUAACUAUUCAUACUGAUCAUGCUGCUAUUAAAUACCUCAUGGAAAAGAAAGAUGUUAAGCCUAGACUCAUGAGGUGGGUGUUUUUACUUAAAGAGUUUUUUUGCAUAUCGUUGAGAGAAAGGGGGUUGAUAAUCCUCUAGUAGAUAACUUAUCUAGAAUGGAAAAUGUUCUUGAUGACCCACUAACGAUUGAUGACAAUUUCCCUCAUGAGCAACUAGCUGCUGUUAGCACUUCUCGCAGCUCUCCUUGGUAUGCUGAUUAUGCUAACUUUAUUGUGGCAAAAUAUAUUCCACCUAGCUUCACCUAUCAAAAAAAUAAAAAAUUCAUUAUGACUUAAGGCAUUACUUUUUGGAUGACCCACAUCUUUAUAAAGAAGGAGUUGAAGGUAUUAUUAGACGUUGUAUACCUGAGCAUGAACAUGAACAAAUCUUAAGGAAUGCCAUUAUGAAGCUUAUGGAGGACAUCAUGCUGGUGACACAACGACACACAAGGUACUACAAUCUGGUUUUUAUUGGCGUACUCUUUUCAAAGAUGCAUGUAAAUAUAUCUUUUCUUGUGAUGAAUGCCAAAGAGUUCGCAAUAUUGGUAAACGUCAGAAAAUUCCUAUGAAUUAUUCACUUGCUAUUGAACCAUUUGAUGUCUGGGUUUCAAUUUUAUGGGACCUCUCCCCUCCUCUAAUGGAUACACUCAUAUUUUAGUUGCUGUUGAUUACAUUACUAAAUGGGUAGACGCUAUUGCAACUAGUAGUGCUGAUCAUACCACUUCUAUUAAAAUGCUUAAGGACAUUAUCUUUGUGAGGUUUGGAGUCACUAGAUACUUGAUGACUCACGGUGGUUCACAUUUUAUUCAUGGUGCUUUCCGUAAAAUUCUAGCUAAAUAUGAUGCUAACCAUAGGAUUGCAUCCCCUUAUCAUCUUCAAUCUAGUGGCCAAGUAGAGCUGAGCAAUCAUGAAAUAAAAUUAAUCUUGCAAAAGGCUGUCAAUAGAUCCAGGAAGAAAUGGACUAAGAAACUAGAUGAUGCUCUUUGGGCCUAUAGGACUACUUAUAAGAAUCCUAUGGGGAUGUCCCCAUAAAAUAAUGGUCUAUGGAAAAGCUUGUCAUUUUCCUCCUGAGCUAGAACAUAAAGCUUAUUGGACAACUAAAGAACUUAACUAUGAUUUCAAACUCGCCGGUGAAAAAAGGUUAUUUGAUAUUAGCUCAUUAGAUGAAUGGAGGACACAAGCCUAUGAAAAUGCUAAUUUAUUUGAAGAGAAAGUUAAAAGGUGGCAUGACAAGAGAAUACAAAAACGAGAAUUGAAUGUAGGAGACUGAUACGUCUCCGUCGUAUCUACUUUUUUGAACUCUUUUGCCCUUGUUUUGGACUCUAAUUUGCAUGAUUUGAAUGGAACUAACCCGGACUGACGCUGUUUUCAGCACAAUUGCCAUGGUGUUGUUUUUGUGCAGAAAUAAAAGUUCUCGGAACGUCCUGAAAAUUUACGAAGUUUUUUCUGGAAUAAAAGAAAAAUACCUGCGCAAAGAUCCAUGUGAGGGGGCAUGCCAGUGGGCCACAAGCCCACAGGCCGCGACCACCCCCUAUGGUCGCGCUGUGCAGGCUUGUGGGGCCCACGUGGCACCACCGCCCCAAUCUCAGCUCGAUAUCUUCCAUUUCUCCUGGAAAAAAAAAUCAGAAAGAAGGUUUCAUCGCGUUUUGCGAUACGGAGGCGCCGCCACAUCCUGUUCUUCAUCUCGAGGGCAGAUCUCGAGUCCGCUUCGGGCUCCGGAGAGGGGAAAUCGUCGCCAUCGUCAUCAUCAACCUUUCUCCAUCGACAAUUCCAUGAUGCUUUUCAUUGUUCGUGAGUAAUCUCAUUGUAGGCUUGCUGGACGGUGAUGAGUUGGAUGAGAUCUAUCAUGUAAUCGAGUUAGUUCUUGACGGGGAUUGACCCCUAGUAUCCACUAUGUUCUAGAUUGAGGUUGCUACUACUUUGCCAUGCUUAAUGCUUGUCACUAGGGCUGAGUGUCAUGAUUUCAGAUCUGAACCUAUUAUGUUGUCGCCAAUAUAUGUGUGUUUUAGAUCCUAUCUUGCAAAUUGUAGUCAUCUACUAUGUGUUAUGACCCGGCAAUCCCGGAGUGACAAUAGCCGAACCACUCUCGGAGAUGACCAUAGUAUGAGGAGUUCAUGUAUUCACCAAGUGUUAAUGCGUUGGUCCGGUUCUUUAUUAAAAGGAGAACCUUAAUAUCCCGUAGUUUCCAUUAGGACCUCGCUGCCAUGGGAGGGAUGGACAAUAGAUGUCAUGCAAGUUCUUUUCCCUAAGCACGUAUGACUACAUACGGAAUACAUGCCUACAUUAGAUUGAUGAACGGGAGCUAGUUACAUAUCUCUCCGUGUUAUAGGUGUUACAUGAUGAAUCACAUCCGUCACACUCAUCCAUCACCGAUCCACUGCCUACGAGUCUUUUACUACUGGUCCUCUCUACGUUACUUUGCCUAGGCUUGUCCCUUGCUACAAAAGGGAUUGGGCCACUUUGCUGCUGCUGUCACUACUGCUGUUACUUGUUGCUUUGCUGCUGCUGUCACUAUUGCUAUUACUUGUUACUUUGUUGCUACUGCUACUACUGUUCCUUGCUACUCCGCUGUUACUUGUUGCAAGAAUUUGUUGGUGCUAACAUCCCAUCAACAAGGCUUUUUCUGGCGCUGUUGCCGGGGAUUGUCAAAGCUUUUCUCGCGCUGUUGCUAUCAUACUACCUUGCUACUGAUACUUUGCUUGCAGACACUAAUCUUUCAGGUGUGGUUGAAUUGACAACUCAGCUGCUAAUACUUGAGAAUAUUCUUUAGCUUCCCCUUUUGAGUGAAUCAAUAAAUUUGGGUUGAAUACUCUACCCUCGAAAACUUCUGCAAUCCCAUACGCGUGUGGGACAUCAAGACUUUUCUGGCGCCGUUGCUGGGGAAGCACAUCUAUAUUCUCUGAGUCACUUGGGAUUGACGUCUGCUGAUCACUAUGAGGAAUCCAAAAGAUCCAAGAACUAAAAUCUUGCCUUCCACUACGAGGAGAGGUAAGGAAUUGCCAUCUAGCUCUGCACUUGAUUCACCUUCAGUUUUGAGUAAGUUUGCGACAUCGCCUCGUGCUAGAUAUCUUGAUAUGUCGCCCGUGCUUGAUGAUGUUACUACUGCUGCCCUUAAUACUAUGCCUGAUGAUGCUAUGCUUGUUACUAUGCCUGAUACUGCUUUGACACUAGGUGCAUUCCUUGAUGCACAUAUUGCUAAAGUUGCUGCUAGAUGUGAUGAUACUUCUGAAACUGCUGAUACUAUUGAAGUAGAACCUGCUACUAUGCCUGAAUUGCCUGUUAUGCCUGAUACGCGCUAUGUUAUGGAGGGAGAGAUAGCUGAGGAUUUUCUUGCGCGUAAGGAUAGCUAUGAUGUUGAGAAACUUCUGCGCAAGUGGAAAGAAAAAUCUCUGAACGCUAGGAUGAAAUACGACCCGAAGUUUGCCACUUCACCUAUCUUUGUGACCGAUAAGGAUUAUGAAUUCUCUAUCGACCCUGAGUUAAUCACUCUGGUCGAAUAUGAUCCCUUUCAUGGUUACGAGUUUGAAAUGGUUGUAGCCCAUCUUACCAAAGUGCACGAUAUAACCACCGUAUUCACUAGUGAGGAAAAGAUCCGCCACUACUAUAUGCUCAAGUUGUUCCCUUUCUCGCUAAAGGAUGAUGCUAAGACCUGGUUCACUUCUCUUGCUCGUGGUUGUGUGCGUAGCCCCCAGGAUAUGGUCUACUACUUCUCUGAAAAAUAUUUCCCUGCCCAUAAGAAGCAAGCUGCCUUGGUGGAAAUAUACAACUUUGCUCAAGCUGAAGAAGAGAGUCUCCCACAAGCUUGGGGGAGGCUCAUCCAACUACUCAAUGCUUUGCCUGAUCAUCCUCUUGAGAAGAACGAAAUACUUGAUAUCUUCUAUAAUGGACUUACUGAUGCUUCCAAAGACCAUCUAGAUAGUUGUGCCGGUAGUGUUUUUAGGGAACGAACCAUAGAACAAGCUGAGAUUUUAUUGAAUAACAUCUCGUGCAAUGAGAAUGCUUGGACUAUUCCCGAACCACCUCCUAAGCCAACUCCAAAGAAAAGAGGUAUUCUAUUCCUCAGUCCUUAAGAUAUGCAAGAAGCCAAGAAAUCUAUGCGAGAGAAAGGCAUUAAAUCUGAAGAUGUCAAAAAUCUACCACCUAUCGAAGAGAUCCAUGGUCUCGAUAACCUGAUACAGGUAGUAGAAGUAAAUUCCCUGCGUAGGUUUGAUGAGAGUGAUAUUCCUUUUGAUAAACCUGCUAGCUUAUGCAUGGAUGAAUUUGAUAACUUCGUUGUCAAACAACAGAGUUUCAAUGAUUAUGUUAGCACUGAAUUUGAUAACUUCGUUGUCAAACAACAAGAUUCUCAAGGAGUUAGCACUGAUGCACCUAGUCAUCCUAGAAAGAAGAAGAAAGAUGAUAGGAACCUGCACGCUAGCAACCCUGUUGUUGCUACACCUGUGAGUCCAAACGAUGCCUCUAUCUGUGAUGCUGAAACACAAUCUGGUGAUGAACAUGAGCCUAAUGAUAAUAUCAAUAGUGAUGUUCAUGAAGAUCCUCAACCUAGCAAUGAUAAGGAUGUGCAGAUUGAACCUAGUGUUGAUCUUGAUAACCCACAACCUACGAAUAGAAGAUACGAUAAGAAUGACUUCGCUGCUAGGAAGCAUGGUAAAGAAAGGGAACCAUGGGUUCAGAAACCUAUGCCCUUUCCUCGCAAACCAUCCAAGAAAAAGGUGUUGGAAAUAUGCCCUAGAGGAAAUAAUAAAAUGGUUAUUAUCACAUUUCCUUCUUCAUGAUAAUCGUCUAUUGUUCAUGCUAUAAUUGUAUUAAUAGGAAACAAUAAUACAUGUGUGAAUAAAUAGAUCACAAUGUGUCCUUAGCAAGCCUCUAGUUGGCUAGCUCGUUAGUCAAUAGAUGAUCAUGGUUUCCUGAUCAUGGGCAUUAGAUGUCAUUGAUAACGGGAUCACAUCAUUGGGAGAAUGAUGUGAUGGACAAGACCCAAUCCUAAGCAUAACACUAGAUCGUAUUGUUCGUAUGCUAAAGCUUUUCUAAUGUCAAGUAUCUUUUACUUUGACCGUGAGAUUGUGCAACUCCCGGAUACCGUAGGAGUGCUUUGGGUGUAUCAUACGUCACAACGUAACUGGGUGACUAUAAAGGUGCACUACGGGUACCUCCGAAAGUGUCUGUUGGGUUGGUACGAAUCGAGAUCGGGAUUUGUCACUCCGUGUGACGGAGAGGUAUCUCUGGGCCCACUCGGUAGAACAUCAUCAUGAGCUCAAUGUGACUAAGGACUUAGUCACACGAUGACGUGCUACGGAACGAGCAAAGAGACUUACCGGUAACGAGAUUGAACAAGGUAUAGGCAUACCGACGAUCGAAUCUCGGGCAAGUUCUAUACCGACAGACAAAGGGAAUCAUAUACGGGAUUGAUUGAAUCCUUGACAUCGUGGUUCAUCCGAUGAGAUCAUCGUGGAGCAAGUGGGAGCCACCAUGGGUAUCCAGACCACGCUGAUGGUUAUUGGCCGGAGAGGCGUCUCGGUCAUGUCUGCCUGUCUCCCGAACCCGUAGGGUCUACACACUUAAGGUUCGAUGACGCUAGGGUUAUAGGGAAUUAUUAUACGAGGUUACUGAAAGUUGUUCGGUGUCCCGGAUGAGAUCCCGGAUGUCAUGAGGAGCUCCGGAAUGGUCCGGAGGUAAAGAUUGAUAUAUAGGACGGAUGGUUUCGGAUACCGGAAGUGUUUCGGGCAUCACCGGUAACGUACCGGGACCACCAGAGGUGGCCCCGGGGGUCCACCGAAGGGGGGCAACGACCCCGGGAGGUAAGGUGGGCCAAGUGGGGAAGCAAACCAGCCCCUAGGUGGGCUCGUGCGCCUCCCCACUCAGCCCAAUGCGUGGGGGAGAGAAAAGGGGGGGCAAACCCUAAGCCAGGUGGGCCUAAGGCCCACCAGGGGUGCGCCACACCCCUCCUCCCCCCUUGGCCGCCGCACCAGCCCCCGUCUAGGGCUGCCCCCCCAGGAGAGGGAAACCCUCAAGGGGGCGCAACCCCUCCCUUCCCCUAUAUAUAGUGGGCACUUUUGGCCAUUGAAGAUCAGACUUUGGCCUCUCUCUCGGCGCAGCCCUGCCCUUCUUCCUCCUCCUCUCUGCCGGUGCUUGGCGAAGCCCUGCCGGGAGACCUCGUCUCUCCAUCGACACCACGCCGUCGUCUGCUAGAGUUCUUCCCCAACCUCUCCCUCCUCCUUGCUAGAUCAAGGUGCGGGAGAUGUCACCGGGCUGCACGUGUGUUGAACGCGGAGCUGUUGUAUUUCGGCACUAGAUCGGAAUCGCUACGAGUACGACUCCAUCAACCGCGUUCUAGCAACGCUUCCGCUUAGCGAUCUUCAAAGCUAUGAAGAUGCUCUUACCCCUCUCUCGUUGCUGGUCUCUCCAUAGGAAGAUCUGAAUAUGCGUAGGAAAUUUUUAAUUUAUGCUACGUUACCCAACAGUGGCAUCCGAGCCAGGUUUUCUAUGCGUAGAUUCUAUGCACGAGUAGAACACAAAAGUUGUGGGCGAUGAUUUGUCAAUUUGCUUGAAGCUACUAGUCUUAUUAUUUUCCGGCGGUAUUGUGGGAUGAAGCGGCCCGGACCGACUUUACACGUACGCUUACGUGAGACUGGUUCCACCGACAGACAUGCACACAGUGCAUAAAGGUGGCUAGCGGGUGUCUGUCUCUCCUACUCUAGUCGGAUUGGAUUUGAUGAAAAGGGUCCUUAUGAAGGGUAAAUAGCUUUGGCAUAUCAUCGUUGUGGCUGUCACGUAGGUAAGAAGGCGUUCUUGCUAGAAACCCAAAUCAGCCACGUAAAACUUGCAACAACAAUUAGAGGACGUCUAACUUGUUUUUGCAGGGUUUGACAUGUGAUGUGAUAUGGCCAAAGUUGUGAUGUUGCAUGUAUGAUGUAUGAUAUGAUAAUGUUAUUGUAAUAGGUUUCACGUGCAUGUCGAUGAGUAUGACAACCGGCAGGAGCCAUAGGAGUUGUCUUAAUUUAUUGUAUGAGAUGCAACGCCAUGUGCUUACUACUUUUACUUCAUUGCUAACGGUUAGCUAUAGUAGUAGUGAUAGUAGUAGUUGGCGUGACGACUUCACGGAGACACGAUGAUGCAGAUCAUGAUGAUGGAGAUCAUGGUGUCACGCCGGUGACGAUGAUGAUCAUGCGAUGCCUGAAGAUGGAGAUCGAAAGAGCAAAGAUGAUAAUGGCCAUAUCAUGUCACUAUAUGAUUGCAUUGUGAUGUUUAUCAUGUUUUACAUCUUAUUGCUUAGAAUGACGGUAGCAUAAUAAGAUGAUCCCUCUUAAAAUUUCGAGAACGUAUUCCCCUAAGUGUGUACCGUUGCGAAGGUUCGUUGUCUCGAAGCACCACGUGAUGAUCGGGUGUGAUAGAUUCUAACGUUCGCAUACAACGGGUGUAAGCCAGAUUUACACACGCGAAACACCUAGGUUGACUCGACGAGCUUAGCAUGUACAGACAUGACCUCGAAUACAAGAGACCUAAAGGUCUAACAUGAGUCGUAUGGUUGAAUACGAUCAGCAUGGAGUUGCUCACCGUGGUGACUAGUCCGUCUCACGUGAUGAUCGGACACGGGUUAGUCAACAUGGAUCAUGUAUCACUUAGAUGACUAGAGGGAUGUCGAUUUAAGUGGGAGUUCAUACUUAAUUUGAUUAAAUGAACUUAAUUGUCAUGAACUUAGUCUAAAAGUUGUCUUUAUAAAUAUUGUAGAUGGCCAACGUCAACCUCAAUUUCAACGCAUUCCUAGAGAAAAACAAGCUGAAAGAUGAUGGUAGAAACUAUGCGGACUGGGUUCGCAACUUGAAGCUCAUCCUUGAAGCAGCUAAAAAGGCUUAUGUCCUUGAUGCGCCGCUAGGUGACCCUCCCGCUCCCACAGCAGCCCAGGACAUUCUGAACGUCUGGCAAACGCGGAGUGAUGACUACUCUUUGGUUAGGUGUGGCAUGUUAUACAGUUUAGAAACGGGGCUCCAAAGGCGUUUUGAGCAACACGGGGCAUAUGAGAUGUUCCAGGAGCUGAAGCUAGUUUUUCAAGCUCAUGCCCGUGUCGACAGAUAUGAAGUCUCCGACUAGUUCUUUAGCUGUAAGAUGGAGGAGAACAGUUCUGUCAGUGAGCACAUACUCAAAAUGUCUGGGUUACACGGUCGUGUGACUUCACUUGGAGUCGAACUUCCGGAUGAUGCUAUAAUUGACAGAAUCCUCCAGUCUCUCCCACCAAGCUACAAAGGCUUUGUGCUUAACUACGACAUGCAAGGGAUGGAGAAGACCAUUCCCGAGUUGUACUCGAUGCUCAAGUCUGCAGAAGUAGAAAUCAAGAAAGAGCAUCAAGUGUUGAUGGUCAACAAGACCACUAGUUUCAAGAAAGGCAAGGGUAAGAAGAACUUCAAGAAAGACGGCAAAGUUGUUGCCGCGCCCGGUAAGCCAGAUGCUAGGAAGAAGAAAAAGAAUGGACCCAAGCCUGAGACUGAGUGCUUCUAUUGCAAAGGAAAAGGUCAGUGGAUGCGGAACUGCCCCAAAUACUUAGCGGACAAGAAGGCCGGCAACGUUAAAGGUAUAUGUGAUAUACAUGUUAUUGAUGUGUACCUUACCAGCGCUCGUAGUAGCUCCUGGGUAUUUGAUACCGGUGUUGUUGCUCACAUUUGCAACUCAAAGCAGGAACCGCGUAAUAAGCGGAGACUGGCCAAGGACGAGGUGACAAUGCGUGUCGGGAAUGGUUCAAAGGUCGAUGUGAUCGCCGUCGGCACGCUACCUCUACAUCUACCGUCGGGAUUAAUUUUAAACCUUAAUAAUUGUUAUUUAGUACCAACUUUAAGCAUGAACAUUGUAUCAGGGUCUUGCUUAAUGCGAGACGGCUACUCAUUUAAGUCAGAGAAUAAUGGUUGUUCUAUUUAUGAGUGAAAUGUUUUAUGGUCAUGCUCCGCUGGGGAAUGGUUUAUUCUUGAUGAAUCUUGAUCGUGAUGUUACACAUAUUCAUAGUGUGAGUACCAAAAGAUGUAAAGUUGAUAAUGAUAGUCCCACAUACUUGUGGCACUGCCGCCUUGGUCAUAUAGGUGUUAAGCGCAUGAAGAAGCUCCAUACUGAUGGACUAUUAGAGUCUCUUGACUUUGAAUCAUUUGACACAUGCGAACCGUGCCUCAUGGGCAAGAUGACUAAGACUCCAUUCUCAGGAAUAAUGGAGAGAGCAACCGACUUAUUGGAAAUAAUACAUACUGAUGUGUGUGGUCCAAUGAACGUUGAAGCUCGCGGUGGUUAUCGUUAUGUUCUCACUCUCACCGAUGAUUUGAGUAGGUAUGGGUAUAUCUACUUGAUGAAGCACAAAUCUGAGACGUUUGAAAAGUUCAAGGAAUUUCAGAGUGAGGUUGAGAAUCAACGUGACAGAAAAAAUUAAAUGUUUACGAUCUGAUCGUGGAGGAGAAUAUUUGAGUCACGAGUUUGGCACACACCUAAGGAAGUGUGGAAUCGUUUCACAACUGACGCCGCCUGGCACACCGCAACGGAACAGAGUGUCUGAACGUCGUAAUCACACUUUAUUAGAUAUGGUACAAUCUAUUAUGUCUCUUACCGACUUACCGCUAUCAUUUUGGGGAUACGCAUUAGAAACCGCAGCAUUCACUUUAAAUAGGGCACCGUCUAAAUCCGUUGAGACGACACCGUAUGAACUAUGGUUUGGCAAGAAACCUAAGUUGUCGUUUCUUAAAGUUUGGGGUUGCGAUGCUUAUGUGAAGAAACUUCAACGAGAAAAGCUCAAACCCAAAGCGGAGAGAUGCGUAUUCAUAGGAUACCCUAAGGAAACUAUUGGGUAUACCUUCUAUAUUAGAUCCGAAGGUAAAACCUUUGUUGCCAAGAACGGAUCCUUUCUAGAGAAAGAGUUUCUCUCGAAAGAAGUAAGUGGGAGGAAGGUAGAACUUGAUGAGGUAAUUACACCCCCUCUCGAACAGGAUAGUAGCCCAGCGCGGGAAGUUGUUCCUGUGGCGCCUACACCAACUGAAGAGCAAGUUAAUGAUGAUGAUCAUGAAGCUUCGGAUCAAGUUACUACUGAACUGCGAAGGUCCACAAGGGCACGCUCCGCACCAGAGUGGUACGGCAACCCUGUGAUGGAAAUCAUCUUGUUAGACAACGUGAACCUUCGAACUAUGAAGAAGCGAUGGCGGGCCCGGAUUCCAACAAAUGGCUUGAGGCUAUGAAAUCCGAGAUAGGAUCCAUGUAUGAGAACAAAGUGUGGACUUUGGUGGACUUGCCCGAUGACCGGCGAGCCAUAGAAAAUACAUGGAUCUUCAAGAAGAAGACUGAUGCAAACGGUAAUAUAACCGUUUACAAAGCUCGACUUGUCGCAAAGCGUUUUCAACAAAUACAAGGAGUUGACUACGAAGAGACUUUCUCUCCUGUAGCGAAGCUGAAAUCAGUCCGAAUCAAGUUAGCAAUUGCCGCCUUUUAUGUUAUGAAAUUUGGCAAAUGGACGUCAAAACAGCGUUCCUUAACGGGAACCUUAAGGAAGAGUUGUAUAUGAUGCAACCAGAAGGUUUUGUCGACCCUAAGGGUGCUAACAAAGUGUGCAAGCUGCAGCGCUCCAUCUAUGGGCUGGUGCAAGCAUCUCGUAGUUGGAACAUUCGCUUUAAUGAGGUGAUUAAAGCGUUUGGGUUCAUACAGGUUUACGGAGAAGCCUGUCUGUACAAGAAAGUGAGUGGGAGCUCUGUAGCUUUCCUCAUACUGUAUGUGGAUGACAUAUUAUUGAUGGGGAAUAAUAUAGAGAUGUUGGAGAGCAUAAAGGCCUAUUUGAACAUUUUUUUUUCAACGAAUGACCUUGGAGAAGCUGCAUACAUAUUAGGCAUCAAGAUCUAUAGAGAUAGAACAAGACGGCUCACAGGUCUUUCACAAAGUACAUACCUUGACAAGAUAUUGAAGAAGUUCAAUAUGGAAAACUCAAAGAAAGGGUUCUUGGCAGUUUUGCAAGGUUUGAGAUUGAGUAAAACUCAAUCACCGACCUAGGCAGCAGAUAGAGAGAAGAUGAGUUCUGUCCCCUACGCAUCAGCCGUGGGCUCUCUAAUGUAUGUCAUGCUGUCUACCAGACCUGAUAUAAACCUUGCCAUAAGCUUGGUAGGGAGGUAGCAAAGUGAUCCUGGUAUGGAACACUGGACAGUGGUUAAGAAUAUCCUCAAGUACCUGAAAAGGACUAAGGAAAUGUUUCUCGUUUAUGGAGGUGACGAAGAGCUCGUCGUAAAGGGUUACGUCGACGCUAGCUUCGACACAGAUCCGGAUGACUCUAAGUCACAGACCGGAUACGUAUAUGUGUUGAAUUGUGGGGCAGUGAGUUGGUGCAGCAGCAAGCAAGAAGUCGUGGCAGCAUCUACAUGUGAAGCGGAGUACAUAGCUGCUUCAGAAGCAGCUCAUGAAGGAAUUUGGAUGAAGGAGCUCAUCACCGACCUUGGAGUGGUUCCAAGCACGCCGGGUCCACUGACACUCUUUUGUGAUAACACUGGGGCCAUUGCCAUAGCCAAGGAGCCCAGGUUUCACCGGAAGACGAAGCACAACAAACGCCGCUACAACUCCAUCCAGGACCAUGUCCAAAGUGGAGUGAUAGAUAUUUGUAAAGUACACACGGAUCUGAAUAUUGCAGACCCGUUGACUAAACCUCUUCCACGAGCAAAACAUGAUCAACACCAUAAUGAUAUGGGUGUUCGAUACAUCACAAUGUAACUAGAUUAUUGACUCUAGUGCAAGUGGGAGACUUUUGGAAAUAUGCCCUAGAGGCAAUAAUAAAAUGGUUAUUAUCAUAUUUCCUUGUUCAUGAUAAUCAUCUAUUGUUCAUGCUAUAAUUGUAUUAACAGGAAACAGUAAUACAUGUGUGAAUAAAUAGAUCACAAUGUGUCCCUAGCAAGCCUCUAGUUGGCUAGCUCGUUAGUCAAUAGAUGAUCAUGGUUUCCUGAUCAUGGGCAUUAGAUGUCAUUGAUAACGGGAUCACAUCAUUGGGAGAAUGAUGUGAUGGACAAGACCCAAUCCUAAGCAUAGCACUAGAUCGUAUUGUUCGUAUGCUAAAGCUUUUCUAAUGUCAAGUAUCUUUUCCUUCGACCGUGAGAUUGUGCAACUCCAGGAUACCGUAGGAGUGCUUUGGGUGUAUCAAACGUCACAACGUAACUGGGUGACUAUAAAGGUGCACUACGGGUACCUCCGAAAGUGUCUGUUGGGUUGGUACGAAUCGAGAUCGGGAUUUAUCACUCCGUGUGACGGAGAGGUAUCUAUGGGCCCACUCGGUAGAACAUCAUCAUGAGCUCAAUGUGACUAAGGAGUUAGUCACACGACGACGUGCUAUGGAACGAGUAAAGAGACUUACCGGUAACGAGAUUGAACAAGGUAUAGGCAUACCUACGAUCGAAUCUCGGGCAAGUUCUAUACCGAAAGACAAAGGGAAUCAUAUACGGGAUUGAUUGAAUCCUUGACAUCGUGGUUCAUCCGAUGAGAUCAUCGUGGAGCAAGUGGGAGCCACCAUGGGUAUCCAGACCCCGCUGAUGGUUAUUGGCCGGAGGGGCGUCUCGGUCAUGUGUGCCUGUCUCCCGAACCCGUAGGGUCUACACACUUAAGGUUCGAUGACACUAGGGUUAUAGGGAAUUGUUAUACGAGGUUACCGAAAGUUGUCCGGAGUCUCGGAUGAUAUCCCAGACGUCAUGAGGAGCUUCGGAAUGGUCCGGAGGUAAAGAUUGAUAUAUAGGACGGAUGGUUUUGGAUACUGGAAGUGUUUCGGGCAUCACCGGUAACGUACCGGGACCACCGGAGGUGGCCCCGGGGGUCCACCGAAGGGGGGAAACGACCCCGGGAGGUAAGGUGGGCCAAGUGGGGAAGGGAACCAGCCCCUAGGUGGGCUGGUGCGCCUCCCCACUCAGCCCAAUGCGUGGGGGAGAGAAAAGGGGGGCAAACCCUAAGCCAGGUGGGCCUAAGGCCCACCAGGGGUGAGCCACACCCCUCCUCCCCCCCCUUGGCCGCCGCACCAGCCCCCACCAAGGGCUGCUGCCCCCCCAGGAGAGGGAAAUCCUCAAGGGGGCGUAGCCCCUCCCUUCCCCUAUAUAUAGUGGGCACUUUUGGCCAUUGGAGAUCAGACUUUGGCCUCUCUCUCGGUGCAGCCCUGCCCUUCUUCCUCCUCCUCUGUGCCGGUGCUUGGUGAAGCCCUGCUGGGAGACCUCGUCUCUCCAUCGACACCACGCCGUCGUGUUGCUGGAGUUCUUCCCCAACCUCUCCCUCCUCCUUGCUGGAUCAAGGUGCGGGAGACGUCACCGGGCUACACGUGUGUUGAAUGCGGAGGUGUCGUAGUUCGACACUAGACCGGAAUCCCUGCGAGUACGACUCCAUCAACCGCGUUCUAGCAACGAUUCCGCUUAGCGAUCUUCAAAGGUAUGAAGAUGCUCUUACCCCUCUCUCGUUGCUGGUCUCUCCAUAGGAAGAUCUGAAUAUGCGUAGGAAAUUUUGAAUUUAUGCUACGUUACCCAACAAAAGGAUGAUGAGGAUUUUGAGCGAUUCGUUGAAAUGAUCAGACUUGUCUUUCUGCAGAUGCGUUUGACUGAUAUGCUCAAGAUGUCUCCGUAUGUUAAGUACAUGAAAGAUACUUUGACUAAUAAGAGGAGGAUACCUGAUCUUGAGAUCUUCGCCAUGCUUGCUAAUUACACCUUCAAGGGUGGAACUCCGAAGAAACUAGGUGAUCCCGGUGUGCCCACUAUACCUUGCUCCAUUAAAGGCAACUACGUUAGAACUGCGUUAUGCGAUCUUGGAGCCGGUGUUAGUGUUAUGCCUCUCUCUCUUUAUUGUAUACUUGAACUGGAUAAGUUGACACCCACUAAAAUCUCUCUGCAAAUGGCCGACAAAUCAACUCCUUUCCCUAUUGGCAUUUGCGAGCAUGUGCCUGUUGUGGUUGCUAAUACCACUAUCUUAACAGACUUUGUUAUCUUGGAUAUUCCCGAGGACGAUGCCAUGGCUGUCAUUCUCGGAAGACCCUUUUUAAACACUGCAGGGGCUGCUAUAGAUUGCAACAAAGGCAAUGUCACUUUCCAUGUCAAUGGUAAUGAGCAUACGGUGCACUUUCCGAAGAAACAAUAUCGAGUACAUUGCAUCAAUGCUAUCAAAAAAUGUUCAUCGAUUCUUAUUGCGAGCUUUGAAUGCCAUAUUCCUCGCAUUAAGAUGAAGUACGAUUUGCUUGUUGGGGAGAUACACAUCCCCAUUGAGGUGACCUAGUGACUAUUCGGAAAUUCUCCGUCUUCUUUUGCGAUUCGAGAAUGUUUUGUCGAGGGGAUUUGAUCAACCCCAUUGACGGAUUUCUUUCGAUGACCAUGAGAUGGAUGAAUCAAGGAGUCACAAACCUCUGUUCCAAGCUUUCACUUUAGGUUGCUUAGAAGAAAAAUGAUAGGUUUAGUUUAUUUUUCCCUGUUUUCUGUUUUAGCGUCCGGUAGAAAAGUACCCCGAAAAUCAAAGUUCUCCGAACGCUGUGAAAAUCAAGUAUGAUUUUUUCUGGAAUAUUUGAAAAAUACUCGAACAAAGAGUCUGUCUGGGGGCCACACCAGUGGGCCACAAGCCCUAGGGGCAUAGGCACCCCCUGGACGCGCCACCCAGGCUUUUGGGGACCACAUGCACCCCCUCCACUCAUUCUUGCUCCCAUCCAGUUCUCCUACCUCUAGAAAAAAUCGUUUCGCAGCUCAAACCCAUGUUCUUGCUCCUCCAGCUGGGAUUUUCGAUCUCUUUGCUCAAAUCACCGUUCUCCGAACUGUUUUGGGGAAAUUACUCCUUCGUAAGUGACUCCUCCAUUGGUCCAAUUAGUUUUUGCUCUAGUGCCUUAUACUCCGCGUAUUUUUGCUGCCUUGGUGACCAUGUUCUUGAGCUUUGCAUGCUGAUUCUAGCUGGUCCCAAGUAGUUUUGAUGCGUAAUAUGGUCUCUAGGCACUUGUUGGAGUAGUUGCUAUGAGUUUCGUUGAGCCUUAUUCACUUUUCCUUAGAAUCACUAAAAAUUUCAGAAAUUUUCAGAGAUAGAAAAGGGAAAAGAUGAGGAGGUUCUUAAGAGGCUCGUCAAGCCGUGACCCCAAGGAUGAUGGGAGUGAGAAGAAGCCCAAGUAUUUGGUCCCUCGAGUCGCAGAAGUUCGAGCGUGCGAGUGGCCAAGCGACGUGUUCUUACGUGCUGCUGGAAUUUAUGAGGACUUUUAUCACUUGGUGGAGAACGCAGGCCUUACUGCCUUCGUUGAAGAUAAGUGUCCGCAAUACCUCCGCCUCACUAGUAUCUUCGUACAAAGCUUUCACUUCUAUCCGAGGAAGAAUCCUCCUACGGUUGAGUUUAAACUUUAUGAUAUCCCCCAGCGCAUGUCACUCCAGGAUUUUUGCAAUGUUUGCAAAUUGCCUUACGUUGUGGAUAUUCAUGAACCUCGUCCACGGGACCUGGAAGCUUUCAUUGGUACUAUUGCUGUAGGAGAGGAGAGAGGAGUGUCUUGCGCUAGAGCUGCUAGCAUACAUUUUCCCGUGCUUCGAUACUUCUCACUAUUUGUGGAAAAUGUUUGAUUUGCCGUGGGAAAGCUGGGUCACUUAGUUCCCCAGAUCCUGCGGUCUUGCGCGAAGCCCUUUAUAACGAUAAAACUUAUAGCUUAGGCACUAUAGUAGCUCAAUGGUUGAACCUGAACCGUUCUAAGGGUGUUGUCUAUGGAGGUAUCUACGCUACUCGUCUUGCUAGACACUUUGAGAUACCUAUUAGACUGGUGGAGGAAGAAGAGAUUCUUCUUCCCGAGAGAUAUCUAGAUUAUGAUAGCAUGGUUCGCCAUGACUUUCUUGAUAGAGAUAUAGGUGGAAGGAUGAUUUAUAACCUGGUAUUUAGUUAGGGUACUCGUGAGACUAUUACUUUGUCUGCUCCUUCUUUGUUCAAUCUUCAUGCAGGCAGGUACACUAUUAUGCCCUCGGACAUCUAUGCAUAUUGGGGCUUAGCCCAACCACAGGUGCCCGUGCCCGAGCCGCCAGUCGAGUACCAGACGCCAGUUUAUCAGUGGGAGCCAGAGGAGCUCACACAGCAGUGGCAUCCUCAGUCCACACCGGAGUACCCAGGAGCUGGUUAUUUCCCUCCUUGGGAGUAUACCAAGUUAGGCCAAAAGCCUAAGCUUGGGGGAGUACGUGUUCUCACCGACUUUAAAUUCUUGCUUAUGCUUUCACUUUGCUAGCCAGUGUUCACACUUUGCCACUGUAUCAUCCAUGCUAGUUUAUUUUCUUUUUUCUCAUUUUCUUUUCGUGUGUCUGUCUAGUUUGAGAAAAAAAACAAAAAGAUUUCCUUUUUCUUCUUUUGCUUGUUGGGAGCUUUCCCGUGUAGAGAGUUUUCUUUUUCUUUGGGUCAAGGUAGAAGACAUUGGUUGCAAUGUUUAGUGGCUCUUGCAUGCAUACCUGUUUAGUUUUCAAAGAGCCAUAUUACUUUGUCUUCUCCUUUGUGUUUGCCUGCAGAUUCCAGCUUUAGUCCAACGCACGAGCACGCUUAUUAUUGUUCACUUCGUUCGGUCGUGCAAGUGAAAGGAAAUAAUGACGAUAUAUGAUGAAGUGACUGAGCCUGGAAAAGAUGGUAUGAACUCGAUCUAUUUUGCUUUUGUAAAGAUGACUAGCUCAUCAUGCCUGACUCAGCUUUGUUGUGAGAGAAACAUGUUUGCAAUGAAAACUUAGAGAUCAUAGUUGCUUAUGCCAUGCUUACUUGGCUAGGAUCUUAUAAUUGUUUGUCUUGGUUGCCAACAUGAAUGUUGAGAUGACUAUGAUGUAGUAUUAUAGGAUGAUAUCCUCCUUUGAAUGUUUCAAGUGGCUUGACUUGGCACAUGUUCACGCAUGUAGUUGAAACAAAAUCAACAUAGCCUCUAUGAUGUUCAUGUUCAUGGUGAUUUAUGUCCUACUCAUGCUUGCAUUCAAUGUUAGUUACUCUCAAUACAUUUUGAUGACUGUUGUCGCUCUCUAGUUGGUCGCUUCCCAGUCUUUUGCUAGCCUUCACUUGUACUAAGCGGGAAUACUGCUUGUGCAUCCACCUCCAUAAACCCAAAGUUGUGCCAUAUGAGUCCAUCAUACCUUACUAUGUGCGGUAUCUACCUGUCGUUCGAAGUAAAUUUGCAUGUGCCACUCUCUAAAUAUUCAAGAAAUAAUCUGUUUUGCAUGCGUGAACCGCUCAUGUGGUGACAGGGGGCUAUUGGUAUCUUCCAUGCUAGGCAUGUUAUCCUCGAUAUGUGUUUAUUCACUAUCAUUCACGAGAAAGGGGCCGGUAAUUGGAAUUCCCAGUUCCAUGCUCAAAUGUAAAAGAUAAUUACAAACAAAACUCCCCCAGGAUUGAUGUUGGUAUGGACGGUACCCGAGGAUUAGGCUAGCCGUGGAGUGUGAUUGAUUGGUGGUGGGGGAGUCAAAACUUUACUUUUCUGUUUGGGAACCGCCUAUAGCAUGUGUAGCAUGGAAGAUGUUGAGAACUCUUAGUCAUUGCGUUGACAAUGAAAGCAUGCCACCCAAAAUUAUUAUCUCUGUUUUCAAAGCUUGAGCUCUGGCACCUCUGCAAAUCAAUGCUUCCCUCUGCGAAGGGCCUGUCUAUUUAUGUUCAUGAGUCAUCCUCCUCUUACAAAAGCACCAAUUAGAGAGCACCUCUGUCAUUUUUAUGCUUUGCUUUUAACUGUGUUGAGUAUGACUAUGACUGGAUCUUCAUUGCCUUGAAUUACAAUGUUUAGUCAGCCCUUGGUCUUUGAAGGUGCUCUGCAUUUAUGUUUUGCGGUCUCAGAAAGAGCUAGCGAGAUACCAUCUAUUCGUACUGCUUCAUCUUGCUUUGAUUGAAGUGUUGACAUUUGAGGCUUAUUAUUAUUUGCUCGCUAGUUGAUUAUGCCAUUGAUAUGAGUUUACCGUGAGACCUAGAUGUCAUUUGCUUAUGUGGUUUGCUUGUGAUGUUGCUGAAAUUCUGGUUAUGAGUUAGACAUAGUUGCAACAACAAGAUCAAACAGAGUUCGUCAAAGUUUUUCUUUUGUCUCUCUCAGUUUGUCAACUGAGUUGCUUGAGGACAAGCAAGGCUUUAAGCUUGGGGGAGUUGAUACGUCUCCGUCGUAUCUACUUAUUCAAACUCUUUUGCCCUUGUUUUGGACUCUAAUUUGCAUGAUUUGAAUGGAACUAACACGGACUGACGCUGUUUUCAGCAGAAUUGCCAUGGUGUUGUUUUUGUGCAGAAGUAAAAGUUCUCGGAACAUCCAGAAAAUUUACGUAGAAUUUUUCCGGAAUAAAAAAAAUACCUGCGCAAAGGUCCACGUGAGGGGGCGUGCCAGUGGGCUACAAGCCCACAGGCUGCGGCCACCCCCUAUGGUCGCGUAGUGUAGGGUUGUGGGGACCACGUGGCACCACCGCCCCCAAACUCAGCUCUAUAUUUUCCAUUUCGCCUGGAAAAAAUAAAUCAGAAAUAAGGUUUCAUCGUGUUUUGCGAUACGAAGGCACCGCCACAUCCUGUUCUUCAUCUGGAGGGCAGAUGUGUAGUCCGUUUCGGGCUCCGGAGAGGGGAAAUCGUCGCCAUCGUCAUGAUCAACCUUUCUCCAUCAACAAUUCCGUGAUGCUCUUCAUCGUUCGUGAGUAAUCUCAUCGUAGGCUUGCUGGACGGUGAUGAGUUGGAUGAGAUCUAUCAUGUAAUCGAGUUAGUUCUUGACGGGGAUUGAUCCCUAGUAUCCACUAUGUUCUAGAUUGAUGUUGCUACUACUUUGCCAUGCUUAAUGCUUGUCACUAUGGCUGAGUGUCAUGAUUUCAGAUCUGAACCUAUUAUGUUGUCGCCAAUAUAUGUGUGUUUUAGAUCCUAUCUUGCAAGUUGUAGUCACCUACUAUGUGUUAUGACCCGGCAACCCCGGAGUGACAAUAGCCGGAACCACUCCCGGAGAUGACCAUAGUAUGAGGAGUUCAUGUAUUCACCAAGUGUUAAUGCGUUGGUCCGGUUCUUUAUUAAAAGGAGAACCUUAAUAUCCCGUAGUUUCCAUUAGGACCCCGCUGCCAUGGGAGGGAUGGACAAUAGAUGUCAUGCAAGUUCUUUUCCCUAAGCACGUAUGACUACAUACAGAAUACAUGCCUACAUUAGAUUGAUGAAUGGGAGCUAGUUACAUAUCUCUCCGUGUUAUAGCUGUUACAUGAUGAAUCACAUCCGUCACACUCAUCCAUCACCAAUCCACUGCCUACGAGUCUUUUACUACUGGUCCUGGCUACGUUACUUUGCCUAGGCUUGUCCCUUGCUACAAAAGGGAUUGGUCCACUUUGCUGUUGUUGUCACUACUGCUGUUACUUGUUGCUUUGCUGCUGCUGUCACUACUGCUGUUACUUGUUAUUUUGUUGCUGCUGCUACUACUGUUCCUUGCUACUCCACUGUUACUUGUUGCAAGACUUUUUUGGCGCUAACAUCUCGUCAACAAGGCUUUUUCUGGCGCCGUUGCCGGGGAUUGUCAAAGCUUUUUCUGGUGCCGUUGCUAUCAUACUUUCUUGCUACUGAUACUUUGCUUGCAGACACUAAUCUUUCAGGUGUGGUUGAAUUGACAACUCAACUGCUAAUACUUGAGAAUAUUCUUUAGCUUCCCCUUGUGAGAUAAUCAAUAAAUUUGGGUUGAAUACUCUACCCUCGAAAACUGAUGCGAUCCCAUACGCUUGUGGGACAUCAGAGACCUAGUGCUUCUGUACAACUCUCAUUUUAGAUUCUUUGUAGGUAAACUCCUCUCCAAAUGGGAAGGACCCUAUGUUGUCGAGGAGGUUUAUCGGUCUGGAGAGUGGUGAAAAAUUAAUGACUUCGAAGGUAAAAACCCGAGAGUCGUGAAUGGGCAAAGAAUCAAACAUUAUAUUUUAGGUGCACCCAUUAAUGAGGAGACCAAUAUCAUCCAAGUCAUAACACGGGAAGAUCACAUAAAGUAAGAGGCUGUUUGGUUUCCAGUCUAAGGUUGCCACGCCUAACCUUAGUCAUGCCACAAUACCUUAGGCAUGUGUUUGGUUCAUUGUCACACUUGUGGCUUGCCACACUUUUCUAGUUAUAUGGUCCACAUGUCAUACACUUAUUGUUUUGCCAAAUCUUGCCACACUUGUGGUGUCUAUUUUCUUAGCCACACUUUUUGUGGCAGCCACACUUUGCCUAAGGUUAGUUGUGGCAAAGUUAGUCAUGAACCAAACAGGCCCUAAGUCUUCCGGAAUGCUCCACACACCUGAAAAAGGGUAGGUAUGUGGUACGGUAAGUAAACCGACUCCAAAAAUUCCCAAAAAAUAAUUUAUGUCAGCUUUGGUAUUUUAGAAAAAUUACAACAAUAAAAAGGAGUCCAGGGGACCCACGAGGUAGGCACAUGCCAACAAGGUGCGCCCCCUGAUUUUUUGUGGGGCCCUCGUGCGCCUCCCGGUAUAUGACUUCUUACUGAACACGUAUUCUGGUCUAGAAAAAUUAUUAUAUAUACUCCCGGUUGUUUUGAAUAUCGCACCGCGAGAUUUUCUUCUGUUCUUGUUUCGGGUUGUUUUUCUGACAGAUCUAGAUCACCAUGACGACUCCAGGUUCCUCCAAGGACAAGUUCUUAGAGAAGGUCAUCAACCCGUACCUCCUGGAGGUGAUGAAACACCCUCAAGACAUUGACAUGCAUGAGGGGGUGCUUCACAUCCGUGACGUCCAAGAGCCAAAGAAGGAGGGAAGCGAGAAGGACAAGCUUGCAGAGGUGGAGCAGGAGAUCUUCAAGUGUCAGGGGAUGGUUGAACGUGGUUUGAGUGCUAACCACUCCAUGAUCAGAGACUUCAUCCAGGAGAACAAGCUGGACACUACGAAAGUGGGGAGGUUUUUUUUAAAAUAGAAGAGCGGGUCGAUCAGCUCCAAGGUCAAGUCUAUGAACUCGAAAGCCAAAACUGCGACUAUGAAUCUAGGUUUUAAAGGAUGAGCUUUGCUGCCGGUUUCAGGGCUCCCGAGACAAAAUUCUCUUAUUAUGAUGGGGAGUCUACACCUUGGAAGGCAUAAGAGGACACCCCAACUACACCACCACUGACACCCAAGAAGGACGCUUGAGUACAUGGUUAUGGGCAUCACCCUUGGCUUACAUAAUAAAGAUUAGUUGAGUAUGUAUGCUUUGCUCUCAUUACAUCCAACAUCAUAGCAAAGCAAUGAAAAACAUAUAUAGAGAAAUAUCAUAUGCUUAUCUUAUGAGGAGUAAUGACUUUGCAUAGUAAAAAGUAUAAGUGAUGAAGGUUCUUGAAAAUAAACAAGCAUAGUAUUAAUCAUGUUACAAUCUAAGCAAGACUAGAAAGAGGAGAGGAGAUUCUCAUAUAAAUACACAAUCUUGGACAUCUUUUAUGAUUGUGAUCCCUCAUCAAAUAUUAUAUAUUGAUCAAGUGUUGACGUAGGACAUGUAAGACAACAUAAUGGUGAUGGUACUUUACAUUCAUAUAGAAUUUAUAUGGUCGUGGAUCCUUUAACAUGUGGUGCUUGCUUUAGAUCUUUUGCUAGCCCAAAAACUUUGCACUAAGUAGAAAUACUACUUGUGCAUCCAUAACCCUGAAACCCAGUUUCUUGCCAUGAGAGUCCACUAUACCUACCCAUGGAUUGAGUAAGAUCCUUCAAGUAAGUUGUCAUCGAGGCACCAAGCAAUAUAAAGUUGCUCCUAAAUAUGUAUGAUCUUUUAUUACGAGGGAAAAUAAACUUUGUACGAUCUUGUGAUGGCAAAUAAAUAAAAACGACAAGCUGCAUAAUAAACUUUGCUAUCACAAGGGGCAAUAUAAAGUGAUGUUCCUUUGCAUUAAGAGUUUGCACACCUCUGCUUCCCUCUACGAAGGGCCUAUCUUUUAUCUUUGAAAGUUCACACUUGUGUGUGAGUCACUAAAUUCCUUCAUCUUUCUACUUAUUAAUUCUAUAGUGGCAAGCAUCAUGUGUUGAGGAAAGAUUCAGAUUUAUAUAUCCAAGUGAAUGUAGAUUAUCAUGAUUAUUAUUGUUGACAUUCUCCUUGAGGUAAAUGGGUUGGGCCGCAAAUCAUUUAAGCCCCUAUCUUCCUAUGUGUCCUGUGAAAACAUGAGCUCCAAAAAUAUGACUCGAGUGUGAGGAAUCAUAGAAGAAUAAAUGAUAAUUGAGUAUGUGAACUUGCUAAUAAGAAAGCUCUUACAUAAAAUCUCCUCUCAAAUAUGUUCAGUUAUGAUUGGCCCAUUGACUGAGAAGAUAGUUUGUUGUUUGUCAGCAAAUAUUUAUGCUUGAUACUCCAAUAUUUGUGAAUGGAUUGUUAAUUAUUUAUGAGAAGAUAUAUGAUAAAAUAUUUGCUGCUCUGCUAAUAUUCAUGAUGCUCUCAUGCCUGUAUUUUUAUUUUAUCGACUUCUCCCUCUCAAAUCAUGUGGCCAUUAUUCUUGAGCUCGGCUUUGGCUUGAGGACAAGCGAGGUCUAAGCUUGGGGGAGUUGAUACAUCCAUUUUUCAUCAUGAAUCUUUAUUGAUAUUUUUCUUAUUAUUGUCCAUUAUUCCCUAUCAUUAUGUAAUUCUUAUGCCUUUUCUCUCUAAAUAUGCAAGGUACGUCACAAAGAGGGAAAUAUCUGAAAAUAGGAAUUCUCGACCGAGAAACCGAGAAAAAGGCAGAAAAAUCAAGUUGCUCCAAAUGACCUGAAACUUCAUGCAAAAUCAAGUUGCUCCAGCACCAUAUCAUCUCCAAUCGUAGUUCAUCUCAUGUAUUCAAUCUUUGCCGCAAAACCUCAAAUUGGUAUUUGUGGGUUGCUAGUUAUGUUCAAUACAUCUUUUAGUUGAUGGUAGUUGGAUUACUUGGUGGAAGACAUUAUGUUGAGAUCCUUGAUCAUUAUUAUUAUACUUCUGGUGUUGAACAUGUUGAUAAGGUGUGGGUAGUUACUAUUUCUCCUAAGGACAUGGGAGAAGUCUUGUUAUAAGUAAUCAUAUAAAGUUGGUAUUCGUUCAAUAUUUUGAUGAUAUAUAUGUUGUUACUUCCUUUAGUGGUGUCAUGUGAACAUUGAUUACAUGUCACUUCACCAUGUUAUGGGCCUAAAAAAAGUCAUUGUCGAGUAACAAAUAGAUGAUGGGUUGUGAGAAUGACGGAUGCUUAAACCACAGUUUAUGCGUUGCUUCAUGAGGGGUGAUUUGGAUCCACAUGUUUCAUGCUAUGGUUAGAUUUAUCUUAAUUCUUCUUUCAUAGUUGAGGAUGCAUGCGAGAGGGGUUAAUCAUAAGUAGGUUGUUAGUUCAAGUAAGAACAACACAUUAGCGUCGGUCCACCAACAUAUCAAAUUAUCAAAGUAACAAACACGAACCAACUCAAUAUGAUGAACAUGACUAGACAAAUAUUCCCAUGUGACCUCGGGAGCACUUGCUUUAUAUAAGAGUACUUUCAGGCAUGUUCUUUGCUAUAAAAAGGAUUGGGCUAUCUUGCUGCACCUUUGUUACUAUUUCUACUUGUCACCGGUUACAAAUUGUCUUGCUACAAAACUAUCUAUCACUGCUAUUCACAGCACUUGCGGAGAAUACCUUGUUGAAUACUACUUAUCAUUUCCUUCCGCUCCACGCUGGGUUCGACACUCUUACUUAUUGAAAGGGCUACGAUUGAUCCCCUAUACUUCUCCAUAGAAUCUUAUAUAUGAUGAUCAACUUGCUUCUUCCCAUACAUAUAUAAUGAUCCAUUUGCUCCAGGAUCCAUUUGCUUCUUCCCCUGUUUUUUUAACUCCUAUAGAAUGAUCAAUCACGGUAUGCAUGAGUAUACAUUAUUCUUCCCAUACUAUUUUGUUAGUUCAACUAAAAGAGACACGACAAUCUUAUAUAUGAAUGGCAUACAUUCCUAGCAUAGCAUUGUAACUAAAACAUUGAAGUCGUGCAUUUUUUGAUAAUGCAUCGUUUGCAUACUACUUCUAUAACCGGGAUGGAAAUUACCAUGAAGUAUUGGUGGCAAUUUGCACUAUAAUUACAUGGCAAAGUUGCACUAUAAUUACAUGGCAAAGUUGCAGUGUCGGUGCAUUUAGCGGCAACUACUUCUAUAACCGGGUGGCCACUACCAGCAAAGUUGGGCGGCAUCCCCCCUCCCUAAUCCCUUGAUGAAAAAAAUAUCCGCUUUGUCUUGCCCCUCCCCCAUACCCACCUGACAAGUUAUUGGACGUACGGGCCGCGGGGUGGUAUACCCAAACCUACGGGAGGUGGGGUGGGACGCAGAACGUAGGCUGUUUUGCGUAAAUGGCACACGAGACGUGCGGCAAUCCAUCCUUAGAGUCCAUACAUGUGGUAAAUACCACGACCUUAAAUUUAAUCAACAUGGACUACUACAACAGAAGCAAAAAAUAUACCAUAGAACUAGUAUUCGAAAGAAGGUUUUUAAUGAUAUAGUUUUAGAGUUUUUAAUGGUAUAAUUUUUUGCUUCCGUCGCAGUUAGUCAUAUUUGCUGAAUUUAUGGUACAUAAAUCUUAAAAAAUAUAAUGCAUUACAUUAUGAAACAAAAGGAGUACUUUUCAUGAUGAUUUGACACCACAUACGUGUAUGAAAGAUUGUAAAUAUGACACCGAUGCCAAGCAUGAUUUACGUCGCCAAUUUGGCAUUUGGCACGCCGUGAAUGCCCUUUUCAGCAGAUGAAUCGAAGGUCUUAAAUGGAGUGCAGAGUACUUGUCAGAAACUGACAAGAUGGAACGAAACAUAUCAGUCAGGACUUUUCCCCACCACCGGUGGGAUAUAACAAAGGUCCUAAAAUCAGCGCACAAUAUUGAAAGGCGAAAAAACGUGAUCUUGCUAACUAUCGGUUCUUUAUCUGCAUUGUACUCUCUCCAUUCCAUAAUAUAAUAAUACAAAAAUUUCUAUGACACUAGUUUCGUGUAGAAAAUGCCUUUGUAUUAUAUGAACGGAAAGGAGUAACUUCUACUAUGUGCCUUUCCACAGGUCUCCCAUCCCUGAACGGGCAAGGAAAAGAUCUAUCGAAGAAACGCGACCGAGUAUCCGUUCGCUUCCCCAAAUACGUUUUUAGGCGAAAAAUAGCGCCUCUUGGGGCAGUCGGUGCUAUUUUCGAUGUACAGGAACUCCGGCUUCCAACGUCUCCAGUUGCCCCUUCCUCCUUCAACCGUCGAGUUCGAACUCUGAUUCGACACAUAGUUCAUAUCAAUACAAAUCAAAUAGUUUAAUGAAGCAAGUUCAUAAUUCAAACACAAUUAAAAUACAUCAAACUUGGCAUUGCCUUUGAGACCUCCAUAGGUGUUUCAUCAGAUCGUGUUGCAAUUUUUGUUGUACCUGUAGGUCUCGGAUCUCUUGACGCACAUUAAGGAAGACAACCCAUAAUUUCAGUACCUGAUGAUCAACAGCUGCAAGAGAACAGACAAAUCACCAAACAUCUAGCGGGCGUGGUGGACGGGUAGCCGCCGGUAUCCUCGCUUGCGUGGUCGGACCUUUGGAAAGCUCGGCGAGUAGCGGGGAUGGAGGCCGUCACGACGAAACUCACUCUUUGCGGUAUGGGAAUGGCCUUUCUAGCUGUGAGACAGCGACCGUGGGCAGGGGAAUGGUGCCGGUAUCAAUAUGACGAUGAAAGGGGAAGUGAUGUUCUACCGCGCGUGGAUCGUAUCUGAAUGGGAAAAGGCAUUUCUUGCGGCCACUUUUCCUUCCAUCGGAGCUUCAAGUGCCCCAACGCUUUGGAUUCGGGCUGAAAUCGCUGGACCGAAAAAUGACCUACGGAAUUUGAGGAUAUUUUUUGCGUCGGCGGAAAAGAAGUCCUCUUGAUGGGUCUGUUGUGGUGCGGGUGGAGAUGCUCUCACCUCGAUCAGCAAUGCUACACAUACAUAAGUUUACAUACUCCCUCCUUUCUGGUUUACAGGGCUCAUCUCAAAAUUUUCAGAUUUCCAUUAUAUUAGGCUCAUUUUAAGUCUAAUAGAGUUAAAGUGCUUUGAGUCCCAUGCCAUAUUUAAUUCAUAGAGUUUGAAGAAAAGAGAUGAGUGGCUAUGUAUGCAUCAUUUUCUACAUCCAUCAUGAAAGUCCAAUGAGAAGGAGAAUGUUACAUUUAUUGCCUUGAAAAUUGAAUAUGUGAGUAAAUAUUUCAUUGGCUAGUUAAAGCUAGUGUCAUCCACUUACAAUUCACCUUGGUUGAUGAGAUUUUAGAUUUGAACCCUAUAAACCGGAAAGGAGGGAGUAGGUUUUACAAAGAAGUGGAUUUUAAUUAAAGAUUAAGGGGAAUGAGGGCUCCACCCUCCCUUGAAAAUCAAAAAAAGUGAUUAGUUAGAAAGAAAAAAUCGUAAUCAACGUGUAAUUUAAGUAACUCUUUGUAUGUCUAACAUUUUUGUGAUCUCGACUUCUCGACUGUGAUAAGACCACCCGUCGGCACGGAUUCACGGACAAUAAAACCAUCCGCCCCAUUCCAAUUCAUCGACAUUGACAUGCCGCCAUACCUGCAUGCAUCAUUGCAUCUCUCCCUCCGCCCGUGACCUGAGAAGGACGGGCCGCAUGUCGCACCUCUACCUAUUCUAUCCUCCUCUCCUGCGCGGACGACGCACCGCCACCCCGUGCAACUCGCCUAUAAGAAGCGGCGUACACAAUGCUAAGCCUAAGCUCACUCCAACAGAGCCACACACGACACAAUCUCCUUAGCAUUACCAGAGCCUCCCAGUUAGCAAUGGCAAAGUGUCUCGCCGUCGCGCUCCUGCUAGUGGUGCUGCUCGCGUCCUGCGACGGGAGGGAGCUGAACGAGAAGGCUGCAGCGACACGCGGUGCCGGUGUCGGCGGCGGCGUCGGCGAGUCCAAGGCUAUGGGGUUGCCGGACUUGCCAGCUGUGACGCUCCCCACGACCCCGACGCUCCCCACGGCACCGACGCUCCCCACACUCCCGACGCUCCCUACGGUCCCGACUCUCCCGCUACUGGGAACCAUUACGGGUACCAGUACCAUUACCGGCCCGGUGGUGGUGCUUCCGGCGGUCCCUGCUCACCCAUGAUUAUCUCUACUUGUACGGUGUACGUGCCUAGAUCAUAGCACCGUUCGCAGGGAAAGACACCGGCGUUGCGUUCAUGUCCAAGGCCCUUCAUUGAUGGGAGUCUGUAUUUAUCUUCAGUUAAAGUUCUUGUAUUGUUCGUUCGUUGAUGUGUUUUUACAUGUAUCAUGGACAUCAUAAAUACUACCGGUACUUUGUCAGCGUGAUCACCUUGUUGGAUAGACGUACGAACAAGUCGCAGCAUCAACGUCCCACUUCGUCACUCUAAUAACAAAGCCCCAAGUCCAGAGUUGUUCAUUUAAAAGAACUACUUCCUCCGAUCUAAAUUAAUCGACGCAACCUCUAUGCAAGCAAGUUAGUUGUCGCAGGGUUUCAUGGCUUGCUUUCUACAUGCGUUUUGCAUGAUUGUGUUUUGUUCUUGACUGGGGGACUAUUUUGAGUAAUGAUAUGUAUCCACGAACUUUACGAGCGUUUUAUGGGGUGAGUUUAAGCUCGCAAGUUGUGUUUCG
rnacentral:lncRNA from 1 species